AUGGGGUCAAUGGUUGGUCAAAAUGGAUCAUGGCCUAGAGCAGUGACUUUCAUUGCACUUUGAAAGGGUGCUGCUUUAAGGUCGGCCCAAGUGGUCGAGCCUACAUCAUAAUUUGUGACAGAGGGGGCUUGCGUUCGCGCAGCCCCUACCAAAUGUUUAAGUUCAAAUUUUUUGUCUUCUUUACUUUGUAAUGAACAAAAUAAAUCAACAUUGCUAAUCGCAUUAUCUUCUUGAUUCUUGUUGAUAAUAUAUGUUUAUUAAUUUAAAUUGAUGUACUCAACGGCCUUUUAAUACUUCUUUGUACACGAAUUUUGAUAGUCUUUAAUCGCAUUUUGAUGUGCAGAAGUGGGACUCGAGGCAAAAAAUGUUCCACAUAAUCAAUCAACAUAAUUUUUUCGUUAGAUAGGAUUUAGGAGGGUUGAGACUUGUGGGCUAAUAUGUAGUUUUAAGCAAGUGUUUUGUAUCAAUCUAUAUGAAAAAUAAAUUAUGUAAUGAAGUAAAUUGUAAUUUGUACAGUGGUACUUCGAACCACUUUGGACUUGGAACAAAUAUGAAGUAACUACCGAUCCUUCUUUCCCUUUUGAGUUCUUUUGUAGGAUCCACAGAAGGAAGGGAAGAAGACGAGAACGCGUGUAACAAAUUAUCUGAUAUAUCAAGAUGAUGGUCAUGAAACAAGGUUUUAAAAGAAAACUAAACAAAUCGUACACCCUAAUUUUAUGCAACUAUACUAGGAAAUAGCAAAGAUGAUGACCAUGAAACACGAAUUCAGGAGGGAUGAAGACUAGACAGCAACACGCCAACACCCCUUUGAUUUAUCCAACUAUCGCUUGAGCUAAUUCUGGUAGCGGACUGGCAAUAUCUGGUUCCUUUUGGGCCGGCUAUCAACAACUUGGCAUGCAUUAGUGUCUUCAGGUAACUAGGAAUACUAAGGAAAGGAUAGUUGCAAUGCAUUGUUGCAAGUUCAUCCAUGUAGCUUCAUCAUCAGUGGCUACAAAAAAAGACCCAUGUUUCGAAGACAUCUAUGCCAACGAAACAUGUUGUCGCUACAACGUAUGCUAUACCGACGACAUGUCGUUGGUAUAGGGUUGACCAAAUUUGUUUGACCUGGGUCUCUAUGUCGCCGAUAUGUCGUCAUCAUAGCUUAGGCGGGAACGAAAUGGGUUACGUGGUUUUCUCAAAACUUAUGCUAACGACAUGUCAUCAACAUAGGUUACAGAAAAUAUAAUUUCUAUUUAUUUAUAAUUCAUGUUGCAGAAAAAAGAAAACGAUAUUUUUUAUUUAUUUACGAGAAGUAGGAUAUGACGCCGUUUACAUUAACCCUAUGCCGACGACAUGUUGUCGACAUAGGGUUUAAUCUCAAGGAACAAGUCAGUCGACCCUCAUUAGUACUUGCACACCGACACUCAUUCUCUCUUGAUCUCUCUACCGGGGAACUCUACACAAAUGACCCAUCUGAUCACUCUCCUUCACCGCCAACCGAAGGUAACUUCUAGGUGACUUCUAUUUUCCAAUUUAAUUUUUUUCGGUUCGAUUUUGAGAUUUUGCUGUUUUUUUUGCUUUGUUUUCCGGUAAGCCACUCACUAGAAGAGGACCACUGACGACAACAUCGAGUUCCAACCAUUCUCCUUCACCGCCGACCACAAGUAAGGUUUUGUGAUUUUCAAGUCUUUUCUCUUUGGGAUUUUUUUUUUCCAGUGAGUCAGUGACCACCAGCCACCACCGGAGGACCACCGUCUACAACCAGCCACCGGAAUCCGGGCACCACAGCAGGAAGAAUGUAAGAUUUUUAUAUUUUUAUUUUAGUUUUGUCCUCGAUUUGGUGAUGUUUUUAUGUAUUUAGAAUCUUUGAUUAAGUAAUUGUUGAUGUUGAAUGGUUGUUUUGGAUGUAUAAAAUGUAUAAUAUGUAAUGAUUGUGUUAGUUGUUUAGGUUUACUAGUUUGAGUACAUAUAAAAUGAAGUGAUAAAGUGUUUAAUUGGUAAGUGUUUAAAGUGUUUUUAUUUAAUUUCAUGAUAAGUGCUUAAUGAUUAGUUGAUAAAGUGUUAAAUUGAUAAAGUGCUUAAUGUGUUUCUAUUUUCAUGAUAAGUGUUUAAUUUGUUUUGUAUGUGAACACUUAUUGGAUUAUAUUGUAAAGUGCUUAAUAGGUAAGUGUUUAAUAUCUUUUUAUUUUCAUGAUAAUAUGGUUUGAAAGUGCUUAAUAUUUUAAUGACUUAAUUAUAACCAUUAUGACUUUAACUUAAAUAUGUAAUAUGAGUGUUUAAAGUAUAAUGUUAUAAUAAUAAUAAUAAUAAUAAUAAAACAAAAGUAAAUUGUUAUAAUAGAAAAUAUAAAAAAACAUUUAAAUUAUAAUGCUUUAAUAAAAAAAAAAAAACUAAAAUAAGAUGUUAUAAAUAAUAUAAAAAUUAAAAUAGAAAGCUUUAGCAAAAAAAAAAAAACUGAUAAAAGUACAUUGUUAUUAAAGAAAACCUAAUUAGAUAAAGUUAUUAAUAGAAACAUACUUUUAUUAGUUUGUUUAUUAAAGCAUUCUAUUUUNNNNNNNNNNNNNNNNNNNNNNNNNNNNNNNNNNNUAUGUAGAAUCUAAUAAAAAUGUGUUGCUAUUAAAGAAACCUAACUCCAAAGGUAUUACUUUAAUUAAUAAAAGGAUGAAUUUAAUAAGAAAAUAAAAUUAAACGGUACAUUAUUUAAACCGUAAUAUUAGGUGAUAUAAUAUAAAAAGUAAGAUGCUAUAUUAGAAAAUAAACAAAAGUAUGAUGCUAUAUUAACAAAAGUAUGAAAACAUGUUGAAUCAUUGAUUUUUAGUUUAAGUCUCUUCUUUAUAAUAAUCAAAAGCCUACAAAUACUCACCCAAAAUUGAUUUAGAAAUUAAUUUCGGGUUAACCCCGUUUUAUGACUGUUUUUUGAAUACUUUAUCUCAUUUAGGAUAUGAAUGUUUACUGUACGAUUGUUUAUUUAAGAAAGAAUUCUUGUCAUUUUCUUUUUGCUCAUCGGGUAUAUAUUUCUUUAAAUAGUUGGGAGCAAAGGGUAAAUGUUGCCGGAUUUUUCUCAAACAAAUAAUCAUGUGACACAUCCACAUAUGAGAUAUGAUAUAAAAAAAAUAGGUUUAAAAGCCUACCCUUGUGAAUACUUUAUCCAUUUUGUCUGAUUUUUACUUCUCAUGUAUAUAUUUCUUUAUAUACUUGUGAAUACUCUUAUCCAUUUCAUAUGAUUUUUACUUCUUGUAGAGUAAACUUUAAACUCUAACGUAUGUUUAUAGCCCAAAUACAAUAUAACUUUCAAUAACAUGUAUACAAGGUGAUUUUUUAAUUAUGAAACAGUAAUGACGAUCGAUAAUAAUUGGAUUAGAGAGAAGAACCAAAUGUCUUCAAAAUUCUUGAAAGGUCUUAACAACUUUAUGAAGAUUGCUGAGAAACACGUCAACUAUGAAGGCAAAGUACACUACCAGUGCAAAAAGUGUGUAAAUAUGUAACGACUGUUUUGCCUACAUUUUAUGCCCACAUACAUGACCAUGGGUUUCUAGAAUAAUAUAUUAUGUGGGAUCAUCAUGGUGAGAAACAUGUUACUUCGGAUUUAGGCUUCACUCCAAGAAUAAGCACUCCAGUACCUAAUGACAUGUUUGAUGUAAUUGAUGAUGUUAUGGAGAGACAAAAUACAAAUAAAGAAAAUAUAGAUGAGGAGGGAUGAGGUAUAGACCCAAAAUUUGAUGUUUUGUUUGAGGAGCUCAAUACCGAUUUAUGCCAUGAUUGUAGUGAAAUGUCUUCCUUGAACUUUAAGGAAAAGUUGUUGUAUAUUAAAGUGAUCAAUAGAUGGACAAAUAGUUAUUUUUGACUAACUUGUAGAGUUACUAAGAGUUGCUUUCCCAAAGAGAAAGAUUCCAACCUCACAAUAUGAAGAAGUUGAAAAAGAUAGGGCCAGGGAUAUCAAUCCAUCCACGCUUGUAAAAUGAUUGUGCUAUGUUUUGGAAGGAUAAUGAUUCCAUGCAAAAUUUCUCGAUUUGUAAGGAUAUUAGAUGGGUGGAUGCAUCCACAAAGGGGAAAAAAGUACCACAAAAAGUGUUACGGUUUUCCUUUGACUCCAAGGCUUCAAAAAAUGUAUAACUCCAAUAUCACAACUAAAGAUAUGAGUUGGCAUAACAUUGGAUGGUCAACAGAUUGUAUGAUGUGUCAUCCAGUUGAUCGGAAGUCAUGGGAAGAUUUUUAUUAGAGAUAUUUAGAGUUUUCCAAAAAACCUAGAAAAGUUCAUCCUGGUUUGCAUGUUGAUGGUUUUAAUCCAUUUGAAAACUUUAAUAGUACUUAUAGUACUUGGUCGGUUAUAUUGAUUGCCUAUAAUACACCACCAUGGAUGUAACACCCUGAUUUUUGGUAAGUACGCUUUUGCCCCUUCAUCUAUCGAGUUUUGCGCUUUUGGCCCUUAAGCUGGUACAUGGGGCGUACCACUUAGUAUGCUCAGCGUACUGGCUAGUGAUGGAUCGGGGCAAGCGGGUGCGUACGUGUGACAUCUCCAAUUUCACGGCCAGAAAAGACCGAUUUGUUUAUGCUUUGUUUUUAUAAAAUCAGAGUAAUCCUUUGAUUAAAAGAGUUGCGGAAUUUGUUCCCAAAACAAAAUAUGAUAAAAUUUAUCAAAACGUUUCUCAAGAGAAUGUGUUUUCAUUAAAUAAUAAAACCUUGGGAUGUCAUGUUCCGAUACAGACCAAAAGCAUAAACAGUACAAUAUAGACCUUACAACAGUUAUUUGUAACUACUGAUCUAUAAUCCAAAAUCUCUCGUCAAGUCCACCAAUUUAUACUCUUCUGCCAUUACCUGUAAUGAAAAGAAAACUGAGUGGGUAAGGCUUGGGAGCCUGGUGAUCAUAUAGGGUUUUCAACCCACAAUAAUACAUUUAUUAUUCAAUCAUCAAACAAUCAACCCAAAUACCCAUCCCAAUAACUCCUUUAUUUCUUAAGGGUUUACCCUAAGGACCAACUAUCCUUCAUUCAUUCAUUCCUAAGGAUUUACCUAAGGAACUGGCACAAAGUCCAUUUGCUACCAAGGUUUAUACAACAUGCACUACUUCACAUAGUCACCAGGGUUCAUACAAUUGGCACUACGGCUCAUAGUCACCAAGGUUUACACGAUAGGCACUACGUCUCAUAGUCACCUAAGUUUACACAACAGGCAUGUAGUCACAUCGUCACCAAGGUUUAUUAAAUAGACACGAAGUCGCAUCGUCACUAAUUCUUACUCAAUAGGUACGAAGUCACAUCGUCACCAAGGUUUACUCGAUAGGCACGAAGUCACAUCGUCGCCAAGGUUUACUCGAUAGGCACGAAGUCGCAUCGUCACCAAGGCUUACUCAAUAGGCACGAAGUCACAUCGCCACCAAGGUUUUACUCAAGAGGCACGAAGUCACAUCGUCACCAACUAUUCCAUAUACCCAUGUUCUACCCAACAAUUUUGUACAUAUAAAUACAAACAUAGUUUAAAUCAUUUAACACCCGUAUAAAAACAUCAAUUCCAAGACCAUCUCAAAUAGACAAAUAAUAUAUAACACAUAGCACGUAUUUCUUAGCUAAUACUUUAUUUUUAUGUGUUAGAAGAAAGUAACUAUACACUCAAUUGAUCAGAAGAUGAUCGGACAACACUACAGCUUGUAAAAGUAGUAUUCUUCGGUAGAUCUGGAAGAUCUUCACAAAAACCGUGCUUCUCGCGGGCAGAGCUUCGGCUCGGGAAUUUCACUUCCCGGGAUCUUCGGGGCUUCGGAACUUGCUUCGGGGCUCGGGAAUGAUACCAAGGCUUCGGGAUAUUUCUUGCACGUAAAACGGGGUAAAAACGAGUGAGAGAGAAGAGUUUGAACAAAAGAAAUCGAUAGCCAUCGACAUCUAUUUAUAGGGUGUUGAAACCUCAAUUACGCUGGGUGUAAAUCUAGGUACGCUGGGCGUACUAAGCCUUACGUUGGGCGUACGCAACGUCAUUGCAUGCGUAUGUAGUCGAGUGACAUCAUUGCAUGCAUAGUUGAGGCAGUUCCAAGUACGCUGGGCGUACUCCAAAAUUACGCUAGGCAUACUCGAUUAAGCAAACUUUAAACUUGCGUAACUUUCGCAUACGAGCUUCGUUUUUUACGUUCUUUAUACCCACGCGUACGUGAGACUAUACUCUAAAUCUAGGUACGCUGGGUGUACGCAACAUCAUUGCAUGCGUAUGUACUCGAGUGACGUCAUUGCAUGCGUAGCUAAGGCGGUUCCGGGUACGCUGGACAUACUCCAAAAUUACACUAGGCGUACUUGAUUAAGCAGACUUUAAACUUGCGUAACUUUCGCAUACGAGCUCCGUUUUUUACGUUCUUUAUAUCCACGCAUAGGUGAGACUAUACUCUACAACUUUCAUUUAGACUCCGUCGGCUGAUUCCGAAUUUAUUUUUAUUAUAUUAUUUUUAGUAGGCCGGGACAGGAAAACUCCGUUAUAAAUUUAUAACUUAUUCAUCCGAAGUCCGUUUUCGUCUGUUUAUUCACUUUCGUAAUACUAUCGACGAGAUCUUUGAUUCUCGUUUAGAUUUUUUCGGCUAAAAACCGCUCGAUCUGAAAUCAAGUAUUCAGGCUGUAUACCGCUAAGGUGAAACUUCAGAAAAUCAUAACUUCUUCAUACGAAGUCAGAUUUGGGCGUUCUUUUUAUGCACGCUCUCAGUUUAACGAACUCUACAACUUUCGUAUAGAUCACUAAGGCUAAAAAGCACUUUAUCGUAAAUUUCACUUUUUACUUCACACAACGUUGUGCCGGUUCUGUCGCGAAACUUCGACAGGUCAUAACUUCUUUAUUAUAACUCGGAUUUCAAUGUUCUUUAUAUGUACGAAAUCCUUGUAACAUAUACAACAACUUAGUUAAGAUUAUUCAUUCUAAAUAAUCUUAUAUCAAAAAGUCAUUUUUGACGCUUAUCGUCUCUAAAUUGACUAGCCCUGAUCUACGGGCGUUACAGUACGCUGGGUGUCUGCUAUGGUACGUUGGGCGUACGUGGAUCUUCCUGAAACCUUAAUGUAGGGUAUUGCACUCUAUACAUUCAUCCUUAACAUUUUAGGGUUGGACUCAUCAUGUGUCCCUCAACCUCCAUAAAACCCUAAUCGUCCCCUUAGCCUCCAUUUAGCAUCUUUGAGCUUUUAAAGUGAAAUUUGUGUGUCUUGGGUCCAUCGUUGAAGAAUCAAUAAGAGAGUAAAGUUCAUAGCUUGGUAUGAGAUUUGAGAUCCAUAAAUCUUCAUCAAAUUGCAAGUUUCUCAAUGUAUAAAGAUCAAACCUUGACUUGUUAAUGACUAGUUUCCUUUAUGGGUUGAUUUGGUUCACUUUGGUCCCUUUCUUUCAUGGAUUUACGGUUUGGGUCGACUUGAUGGAUCAUUUCUCUAGAUCUAACCUUGUUAGAGGUUUCCUUGGCACAAAGGUGCCAACUUUAUGGGGUUUUGGUCACCUUUCAUGCAUUAAUCCAUUCGUUAAGUCAUUGCUAAGCUAAAUAGCUUCAUGUAGCCAUGCAUGAAUGUAAAGUAAGCAAAUUUACGUGUUAUUUUAGCUGAUGGGAAGUCAGAUCUACAUUUUGGUACCUUAUCUUGAGGUAUUAAGUGCUUAAUGGGUCGUUUGGCUUAACAGAGGAGUACGGUGGGCGUACAAGCCAAUACACGCAACAUACAAGCCCCUAUGCGUGUAUGCUCAGCGUAUAGUUGAGUACGCCACGCGUACUCAGUCUGUGGGCUUUGCGGUUUUGGGCUUCGAGUUUGGGCCACCUUUUUGGGCUUAUAUGUUUGGGUACUCCUUGGGCCAUCUGAGUGUUGAUGUUUUGGGUCAAGUGAAGGAUUAUGCCUUGGGGAAAAGCCCAAGAUGGAGUUGGGUCCAAUUUGGAAAAUUUGGCCUAUAAUAGGUCGUGGAUGGUUAAUUAAUGGUUGGGCCUUUUGGAUCAAGAUUUAGGCCUGGUUCUUAGCCCAACUAAGGAAAAAGGGUAAAGUAGCCGUUUACCCUAAUUUUGGACUAUCAGCUUGGAUUGUAAUCCCAGUCUUGAUUGGAUGAUUUUAUGUUGUGUUAGUGUGAGGAUUUUUAUGAGCUAGCAGCCAAAGACUUUCUGUGUGAUUUCAGAAGUGUGAGGUGAGUUAUCCUCAGUAUAAUAACAGGAUCUAAUGCACCAAGGCCGACCCUUUGGAUUGAAUCCUGGUUUAUUGUAUGAUGCUAUGUGCAAUGAUAUGCUAAAUAUGUAUCCUAGUUUAUAGGAUGAUGCUAUAGUAGUGAUCUAUUAGAUCUAUGUGCUGUCUGUGCAUGCUAGCUAGUAUUUGAUAUGUUAUAUAUGAUGUGUGUUAGUGGGUGGGUUGAGGCGGUCCUGCUUUGUGCUGAAGGCCAACAGACCCAUGGCGUCCAGGAUAGGCUGAAGGCCAGUGGGGCGUACCAGUCAGGUCGAAGGCCCGAAGUAUGUUCCAGAUAGGUUGAAGGCCCAGUGUGGUAACCAGUCAUUUUGCAGGUUCUGUGAGCGUACCAGAUAGACUGCAGGCCGGUGGGGCGUUCCAGUCAGACUGAAGGCUCUUAUGCAUGCUGUUUAUGAUUACUACUCUAGUUUUGUAUUGGGUUGGUAUUUUGGGGGAAACUCACUAUAACACUCCAAAUCAGGUAUUACCUUGGAAACCCUUGAAAAAUUUAAAUGUUGCAUAAUCAGUCCCUUAAGUACGCUAGGCGUACUCAUGGAUACGCUUAGCAUACUUUGCAAGAAUGAUCGCGGAGGGACAACACGUACGCUGGGCGUACGUGACAGAUGUCCAAACCCUAAUUUCUGGACUUGAGACCUAUAUAAGCAUCCUUAUCUCAUUUGAGCCUCACCCUAAUCAGCCUCUUUCACCUUCAAACGUCUCUAAAAACCCUAAUACCAUUUGAGUGUGUGUUUUAAGCUUAAGGAGUGCAUUUGUGGCCAUUUUAGUGUCCAUUCAAGAAGAAGAAGUUGUCGAGCUAGCUUGGAGUGGCAAUGGGCUUCAAGAAUCUGUAUCUAGUUCACCUUGAGGAGCUUCUGGAGGUAUAAAGCUUUGAUCUUGCCUUCUUAUUCUUUAGAUCUGGUUAGGGUUUUCUUUAUGGUCCCUUUUGUUGGUUUUGGACCUUCUCUUGAGAGUUAAGCAACUCUAGAGGUUGAAAUGGUUAGAUCUGAGCCUCGUGAGCAUGCUAGAUGCAUAAAGGUGCUAGCUUGGAGCGUAUCUAGACUCCAUGCAAGAGUUUGGAACCUUAUAUGAAGUCCUAAUGUGAAGAAUGAAGUUUUUAAGUCCUAUAGAGCAUACAAGGGCAUAAAGUUGCCAACUUUAUGCCCUAGGACGUCUUGAUGAGCUUAGAUAUGGUUUUGGUCAUUAGAACAUCGAGUAUUAAGCACUUAGUGGAAGGAAGUGCUUAAUCUGCUUGUAUGUUGGGCGUAAGUUAGUGUACGCCGCAUGUACUGCUCAAGGACUCAGUACGCUACGCGUACCGGUGUGGUAUGUCGGGCUUACGCGUAUCAGUUGGACUUGGAUUUGUUUUGGGCCUCAAUUAGUCAUUGGGCCUGGUCAUGUUUUGGGUUAGUGGGCCAGUUUAUCUAUUUUGGGCCAUAGAUGUUUUGAUUAGGCUUUAAUUGGGCCAUGAGGCCCAUUAAUGAUUUUGGAUAUGGACUUUCGGCCCAUUAACUAAGGAAGACCUUUUGGGACAUUUUGAAAGGACUUGGAGUUUGGGUUUUUCAGUUGGGUUGUGUUUAGCCCUAAGCUUGGGUAAUGUUAUCAUUGUUCAGCACAGGAGGCUACAGACAGUUAGAAGACCAACUUUUGUAUUCUUCAGACAGAAGUGAGUCUUCUCACCAUACCAAUGGGUCUAAGGCACCAAGGCCGACCCAUUUUAUGUUAUGCGGUACACUAGCUGUAGUAGAGAUAUGUGGUAUGAUAGUUAGCUUUAUGAUAAGUGGUGUGCUAGUGAUUAUAUGAUAUUUUCAUGGAAGACCCCAGGGGGAGCCCAUAGCAAUUGAAUAUAAGACCAUGUGGGGGAGCCCAUGGCAUUCCUAGGUAAAGACCAUGUGGGGGUAGGCCAUGGCAUGAUGGUAUAAGACCCUAGGGGAGCCCACAACAUCCUUAUAUGUUUAUGUAUAUGUUAUGUAGUAUGAUAGAUACUGAUGGGUUUUGAGCAUUCUAACACUUCCUAAGUGUACAUGCAACCCUAAUAACCUUGGAUCUACGUUUGUCUAAUUAUCAUGCAAAGUUGAAUUCCAAGGUUAUAUUCCUAUCUAGAAUACAUGGGGAACUAUUUUUAACUUGAAUGGAAGAUAGAAUAACUUACCUUGUUGUUGCUUAUGAUCCUUGAAACCUUGUGAGCCUAGCACCCCAAGUGUGAUGCCUCAAAUGCUUCACACAACACCAAAUGCAAAAGAGUAGACUUUGAAAGAAUCUUACACUAGCAAAAAUGGGCCUAGCCCUCACUUGUUCAUGUGUGUAUGUCCGAUUUUGGUGGAGAAUGGGUUCCUUAUAUAGUGUUGACACAUCUAGGGUUACACCAUGUAAACCCUAAUGUGUCAUGACUCUUCAUUUCCAUGACCCAUGGGUUUGUAACUCCCAUGGAGCAUCCAUGGAGCAUCCUAUGGGUAGAACCCAACUUGAUAAUCCAUGGAGCCUCUUAGCCCACUAUACAAGAUAUGGAUGAUUUACAUAAUCAACCCAUAUAUUUAAUUAGUUAUCUUUUGAUCACUUAAUUAAUUCCAAAUUAAUUCUUUGAUCAACUAAUCAAAUAAUAUUAUUAAUAUAUUAGAACUUAUAAUAUAUUAAUAAUCUCCAAGUGUUAUUUCUCUCAUUUAGUCUAUCCAAUUGCAUGGUGCCAUGCAACCCAAAUGGACCAUGCCGGGUCGGGUCAAGUACAAGCCCGAAAUAGUUAUGGACUUAGACACCUUAUCCAACAGUCUCCCACUUGGAUAAGUCUAAUAACUAUAUCUCUAGUACUUCAGGAACCGACCGGCAAUCGUAGCUCUUUCAAGGUCUCUCGGAACUGAGAAGAUGAUGGUACGCCAUUUAAGAUAAGUGAUCAUAUAAUCCUCCGUUCUAGAUAUCAGCCGGACAAAUACAUGGAACAUUGUCUUGCUUAUUGUCCAGCAUUUGUUUCCCGAUUUCCGAUUUGUUUGACAUAGAACUUAAUUGAACACAUCAACUUAGUUCUGACCGGGCCCGGUACAUGGGUCAAAACAAAAUCAUCGAGGGGCCCAGAUAUCAGCUUCUAAUCCAAGAAGGAACAGAUAAACUUCGACUCAUAUGUUUGUUCUACCACUCAUUGAAUUACACACAAAAGUACGUUUUAUAACAUCGAGUUACCAAUGCGGUUUCGUACAGUCAAUGCAUAACCAACUUGUAAGUAACAAAUCAUAUCUCUAGGUUUGAAGACUUAUAUGAUAUUACCGUCUCACGAUCACUCGAGAUAGAAUUCCAUGAAGUGAUUCCAGUGAGCGUGGGUUGAGUCCAAUGCUCAGAACUUAUGAGCACUCAUGAUUGUUGUAGCCUUGUCCAAGACCUCUACAACCAAACAUGACAGUCUUGAUUCAUAUCUACUUCCAACAUAUGACCGACUGUGGAGGUUUGAAUAAUAUGUUAUACCAAACAAAAUUAUUCUGGAAGUCAAAACAUGCAAAAGAAAUAUAGUAAACGAUCGACAAGAGAUAGCAACACUUUACUCAUAAAUAAAACACCUUUUAUUCAUCAUCAAAUGUCAAUUACACUUUACAAAUUUCUGGGUUAUCUAACUACUAAAACUUAUAUCAUCCUUCAGCCCUAUGCUCCGAGCAUGCUGGAGAUGCUUAACCCUACUCAGUCCCUUCGUGAGGGGAUCUGCUGGGUUCUCAUCCGAUGAUACCCUCUUUGCCACGAGGAGUCCUUCUUCGAUCCGAUGUCUAAUGAAAUGGUAUUUUCUGUCGAUGUGUCUGGAUCUCCCAUGAUCCCUUGGUUCCUUGGCUAAGGCAACAGCACUUUCACUAUCACAGAAAAUUUCCAUUGGCUCUUUAAUAGCUGGUACAACUCCAAGGUCUCCAAUGAAGUUCUUCAGCCAUAUCGCCUCCUUUGCUGCUUCACUAGCUGCAAUAUACUCUGAUUCACAAGUAGAAUCUGCCACUGUCUCUUGCUUGGAACUCUUCCAAGAAAUUGCUCCUCCGUUUAGGGUAAAGACCCAGCCCGACUGAGAGCGGAAAUUAUCCCUAUCAGUCUGGAAGCUAGCAUCACUAUACCCUACAACUCUCAAGUCAUCACUCCCACCGAGGGUAAGGACCCAGUCCUUAGUCCUCCGUAGGUACUUGAGGAUAUUCUUUACCGCAGUCCAGUGUGCCUUGCCAGGGUUCGCCUGAUACCUGCUAACCAUGCUCAAGGCAAAAGCUACAUCGGGUCGAGUACACGUCAUAGCAUACAUGAUCGAUCCUACAGCCGAAGCGUAAGGUGUUCGACUCAUUUCUGCUAUCUCAGCCUCAGUGCUAGGGCUUUGUGUCUUACUCAAUCUGGUGUUACUCUGGAUGGGUAACUCUCCUUUCUUGGAAUCCUGCAUGCUGAAUCUCUUCAGCACCUUAUCCAAGUAGGUACUCUGACUAAGUCCAAUUAGUCUUUUACUCCGAUCUCUCAAGAUUCUUAUCCCUAGAAUAUAGGCAGCUUCACCAAGGUCCUUCAUAGCGAAACACUUCCCAAGCCAGGACUUUACUUCCUGCAGGGUUGGAAUGUCGUUUCCUAUGAGUAGUAUGUCAUCCACAUACAAUACCAAAAAGCUAACUAUACUCCCACUAGCCUUGACAUACACACAAGAUUCAUCUUCACUCCUAGAAAAGCCAAAUUCCUUGACCUUUUCAUCAAAGCAAAGAUUCCAUCUGCGAGGUGCUUGCUUCAAUCCAUAAAUGGAUUUCUCAAGCUUACACACUCUAUUAGGGUACUCGUUGCUGACAAAACCCUCUGGCUGACUCAUGUAAACAUCUUCAGCCAACUUUCCAUUAAGGAAAGCGGUUUUGACAUCCAUCUGCCAUAUUUCAUAGUCAUGAAAUGCAGCUAUGGCUAACAGAACCCGAAUAGACUUAAUCUUGGCUACCGGAGAAAAGGUCUCAUCAUAAUCCACUCCAGGAAUUUGAGAGAAGCCCUUUGCAACCAGUCUAGCCUUAUAAGUGUGUACUUUACCAUCCAUGUCGGUCUUCUUCUUGAAGACCCAUUUGCACCCUACUGUCUUACGACCUGGUACAUUUUCAACCAAGUUCCAAACUUGAUUGUCAUACAUGGAUUGUAUCUCGCUAUCCAUAGCCUCUUUCCAUUUAGCAGACUCGGGGCCUGCCAUGGCUUCCUCGUAGCUGUUAGGGUCAUCUUGACUUACUAGUGUCUCAUCACUAAUAAGUGUCUCACCUUCUGCAGUAAUAUGGAAUCCAUAGUAAUGCUCAGGUGCACUCCUAACUCUCGUGGAACGUCUCAGAGGUACAGAUUUGUCAAUUGGCUCAACAGGAGUUUCCUCCUCAAGUUGAGGGCUAGAGUUUGAAGUUCCUUCACCGCUUGAUUCUUGAAUUUCUUCAAGAUCAAUUUGCCUCCCACUGUCUCCUUGGCUUAUAAACUCUCUUUCUCGAAAGACUCCUCUUCUUGCUACAAAGACCACAUUGUCACUAGGUCUGUAGAAGAGGUAACCAAAGGAUCGCUGUGGGUAACCGAUGAAAAUACACCUCUCGCUUCGAGGUUCGAGCUUAUCAUGAGUCUCGCGUCUCACGAAAGCCUCGCAACCCCAAAUCUUGAUGUGGUCUAGUUUAGGUACUUUACCAGUCCACAUCUCGUGAGGAGUUUUGGCAACUUUCUUUGUAGGGACUAGAUUAAGAAUAUGGGCGGCAGUCUCUAAGGCAUACCCCCAGAAUGAGAUUGGUAGCGUAGCUCGACUCAUCAUGGAACGAACCAUAUCUAACAAGGUUCGAUUACGCCUCUCAGCCACACCAUUCAACUGUGGUGUCCUGGGAGGUGUCAAUUGUGAGACUAUCCCACAUUCCCUUAGAUAGUCGAGGAACUCUGAACUAAGAUACUCACCACCACGAUCGGAUCGAAGCAUCUUAAUGUUCCUGCCCAAUUGAUUCUCGACUUCCUGUUUAAAUUCCUUAAACCUCUCGAAAGUCUCUGACUUAUGCUUGAUCAAGUAGACAUAUCCAUAUCUACUAUAAUCAUCAGUAAAAGUCAAAUAAUAACGAUUAGCAUCCCUUGUGGCAUGUUUGAAUGGUCCACACACAUCCGUGUGUAUAAGGUCCAACAAACCUUCACCCCUCUCACACGAACCUGUGAAGGGUGACUUUGUCAUUUUUCCAAGUAAGCAUGAUUCGCAACUAUCAUCUGACUUUAGGUCAAAUGACUCCAAGACUCCAUCCUUUUGGAGUUGGCCUAUGCGUUUCUUGCUUAUAUGUCCAAGACGACAGUGUCAUAAUGAUGCUUUAUCCAAGUUAUUAUCAUUAACAGAAUCAAUACACAAUACAUUAUUUCCUAAGUUAUCAACCACAUAUACAAUUUCAUACACACCAUCACAAGGUAAUGCUUUAAAAUAAAGAACAUUAUUUAAAAAAGCAUUAAUCGAACCAACUUCAUUAUCAAAUGAAAAGGUAAAUCCUUGUAUAUACAAUGCAUGAAAGGAAAUAAUGUUUCUUGCCAUUUCUCGCGAAUAACAACAUUUAUUCAAAUCUAAACUAAACCCACUACUUAGCGAUAAAGUAUAAACUCCAAUCUUGGUGACAGGUAGAGCUUUCCUAUUCCCCAUGAUUAAGUUUAUUCUUCCUUGCUCCACAUUCUCACUUCUUCUUAGUCCCUGCAAAUUAGAACAAAUAUGAAUACCACAACCGGUAUCAAGGACCCAAGAGUUAGAAUGGGGUGAGUUAUUAGAAAUGAUAGUGUAAAUACCUGCAUGGUUGGGUUUAACUUUCCCAUCCUUCACAUCUUGCUGGUAUUUUGGGCAGUUCCGCUUCCAAUGAGCUUUUUCAUGGCAAUAGAAGCAUUCAGCCUCUUUUGGGUCAGAAGAAGGAGUAAUGAAACCUUUCUUGGUUCCACUUGAAGAAGAGCCAUCAAGGGUCCGAGCCUUGGUACCCUUAGAAGAGCUCUUUCUCUUCUUCCCUCGACUUUUCCCGAUUGCCAAAACCGGAGCAGAGUUUGGAGUAGGAGUGUUAACAACCGACUUCCCCUUAAGACCUGUUUCUGCGGUCUUGAGAAGUCCCUGAAGUUUGCUGAGUGUGACCUCUUCCUUAUUCAUGUGAUAUGUCAUGCGGAAUUGAUCAUAACACGAUGGUAAGGAGUGCAAAAUGAUAUCUAUUGCAAGCUCCUCGGGGAAGUUCACAUUAAGCUUCAGCAACCGAUCCACAUACCUUUGCAUUUUCUGCAUGUGGCUCGUGAUAAACUCUCUGUCCUUCAUCAUGCUUGUUAUCAUGGAGCAGAUGAUUUCAUACCUCUCUUGUCGUGCACUUUGAUGGUAUCUUUCAAUCAGAUCUUGGUGCAUUUUGAAAGGGUAGAAGUCCUCAUAGGACUUUUGGAGUUCCAUUGUCAUGGUGGCCAAGAUGAUGCAUGCCACUUUGGANUAUGUCCAAGACGACAAUGCUAUAAUGAUGCUUUAUCCAAGUUAUUACCAUUAACAGAAUCAAUACACAAAACAUGAUUUCCUAAGUUAUCAACCACAGAUACAGUUUCAUACACACCAUCACAAGGUAAUGCUUUAAAAUAAAAGACACUAUUAAAGAAAGCAUUAGUCAAACCAACUUCAUUAUCAAAUGAAAAGGUAAAACCUUGUUUAUACAAUGCAUGAAAGGAAAUAAUGUUUCUUUCCAUUUAUGGAGAAUAACAACAUUUAUUCAAAUCUAAACUAAACCCACUACUUAGCGAUAAAGUAUAAACUCCAAUCUUGGUGACAGGUAGAGCUUUCCUAUUCCCCAUGAUUAAGUUUAUUCUUCCUUGCUCCACAUUCUCACUUCUUCUUAGUCCCUGCAAAUCAGAACAGGUAUGAAUACCACAACCGGUAUCAAGGACCCAAGAGUUAGAAUGGGGUGAGUUAUUAGAUAAGAUAGUGUAAAUACCUGCAUGGUUGGGUUUAACUUUCCCAUCCUUCACAUCUUGCUGGUACUUUGGGCAGUUCCGCUUCCAAUGUGCCUUUUCAUGGCAAUAGAAGCAUUCAGCCUCUUUUGGGUCAGAAGAAGGAGUGAUGAAACCUUUCUUGGUUCCACUUGAAGAAGAGCCAUCAAGGGUCCUAGCCUUGGUACCCUUCGAAGAGCUCUUUCUCUUCUUCCCUUGACUUUUCCCGAUUGCCAAAACUGGGGCAGAGUUUGGAGUAGGAGUGUUAACAACCGACUUCCCCUUAAGACCUGUUUCUGCGGUCUUGAGAAGUCCAUGAAGUUUACUGAGUGUGACCUCUUCCUUAUUCAUGUGAUAUGUCAUGCGGAAUUGAUCAUAACACGAUGGUAAGGAGUGCAAAAUGAUAUCUAUUGCAAGCUCCUCGGGGAAGUUCACAUUAAGCUUCAGCAACCGAUCCACAUACCUUUGCAUUUUCUGCAUGUGGCUCGUGAUAAACUCUCUGUCCUUCAUCAUGCUUGUUAUCAUGGAGCAGAUGAUUUCAUACCUCUCUUGUCGUGCACUUUGAUGGUAUCUUUCAAUCAGAUCUUGGUGCAUUUUGAAAGGGUAGAAGUCCUCAUAGGACUUUUGGAGUUCCAUUGUCAUGGUGGCCAAGAUGAUGCAUGCCACUUUGGAAGCAUCCCUUUCAUGUUCCUGGAAGUCAGCGAUCUCCUGGGGAGUUGUAGUGGUCUCAUAAAUCUCCUUAAGCUCCUUAUCAAGGACAUAUUCUUUGUCCUCAUAGCAGGUAAUCAUCUUGAUGUUUGUCAUCCAUUCAUAGAAGUUGGAUCCAUCAAAAGUGACUUUCCCACACAAGUUCAUAAGGGUAAGGAGCCAUUAGGAUUAGAGCUAGAAGCAGCGUUGUUUGAAGACAUCUGAAAGAAGAGGACAAGAUUAGUUUAGAUAUUAAGAGAGUCCUUAUUAAAACACCCAAAUGUAAUAUUAAGUCUAGGAUCCAAUCACAAUAUAUUAUAACUUAGAAAAGGUAUGCCGUAAUCCAAGCUAUAACAUAUUUGAAAGGUAGGUGAAUGACGAUUCACCAAAUUCCACCAUGAAAAAUGAAAUAUUAAAUAUUAAUUAGGUUUUUGAUUGGUUCUUAGAAAUUCCUAGAUUCUUUUGAGAUUCAAUGAACUUUUCAAAGGCAUGUUUCAAUCUCGAGUGUGCCCUCCAAGUUUUGUGACUGGGAUACCGAGGAUCACAAAACGAGGUGUGAAGUAACCAUGCAAAUCACUUGGUACCCUUAAGGUUUAUCACUCAAUCGAUGUGCCGGUAAACCACACACGCUCCANNNNNNNNNNNNNNNNNNNNNNNNNNNNNNNNNNNNNNNNNNNNNNNNNNNNNNNNNNNNNNNNNNNNNNNNNNNNNNNNNNNNNNNNNNNNNNNNNNNNNNNNNNNNNNNNNNNNNNNNNNNNNNNNNNNNNNNNNNNNNNNNNNNNNNNNNNNNNNNNNNNNNNNNNNNNNNNNNNNNNNNNNNNNNNNNNNNNNNNNNNNNNNNNNNNNNNNNNNNNNNNNNNNNNNNNNNNNNNNNNNNNNNNNNNNNNNNNNNNNNNNNNNNNNNNNNNNNNNNNNNNNNNNNNNNNNNNNNNNNNNNNNNNNNNNNNNNNNNNNNNNNNNNNNNNNNNNNNNNNNNNNNNNNNNNNNNNNNNNNNNNNNNNNNNNNNNNNNNNNNNNNNNNNNNNNNNNNNNNNNNNNNNNNNNNNNNNNNNNNNNNNNNNNNNNNNNNNNNNNNNNNNNNNNNNNNNNNNNNNNNNNNNNNNNNNNNNNNNNNNNNNNNNNNNNNNNNNNNNNNNNNNNNNNNNNNNNNNNNNNNNNNNNNNNNNNNNNNNNNNNNNNNUUAUACCCCCUUAUAGACCGGCUUCGUGAAUGAGGCCUACUAACGGUAAAACGACUUGUUCUUAUACAUAUAUAAUUAUUAUUAAACUUAUAAUAUUAUAAAGUAUAAGGGUUGAAUUUUAACUUUCAAAAUUCUAAGGGAUGUAACUAAAGUUUUAAUCAAGAUUUUACUUGUUCCAAAACUUGAGGGCAAGUUUUAUAAACUUUCAAAGCUAUUCAUUUCUUAUAACUUAUGAGUUAAUUGAGUAAUAAAAAUGAAGACUCUUCAUUUUUAUAACUCUAGUGUUCUUUUAAUGGCUUUAAUAAAAGUCUGACUUUUGAUUUUCCAUAACUUGAGGACAAGUUAUGGACUGCAUUAAAAUACAUUAUGAUCAUGAAUUAAACUACCAUGAAGGUUACAAGCAAUUCCUAUGAUCAUCUAAUCUUCAUAAGUUCAAGAACAUGAGCAUGAACACUUUCAAGAAUCAAAAAUUACACUUAAAAAACUUGUAAUUUUGAUAAAUGCCAUUGAAAAUGGAUUAGCAUAAACAUUACACCAUCUAAAACAAGUUUUCAAGUACCAAAACAGUUUUGGGUAAUGUUUCUAGUCCAUUUUCAGCAACAAAAGUCGAAUUUCUGAAAACUACAGCCUCUACUUUUCGAGUGCAAGAACAUACUCGACGGGUAGCUUGCAUUUGUUCAUGGACUCGUCAAGUCCCCCCAUGGACUCGGCGAGUUCAUACGAGCAGAAAACAGAAAAACAAUUUUUUUCAACAGUUUGCACAAAAAAAUCAACAAACAAGCCUAGGCUCUGAUACCACUGAUGGGUUUUGAGCAUUCUAACACUUCCUAAGUGUACAUGCAACCCUAAUAACCUUGGAUCUAUGUUUGUCUAAUUAUCGUGCAAAGUUGAAUUCCAAGGUUAUAUUCCUAUCUAGCAUACAUGGGGAACAAUUUUUAACUUGAAUGGAAGAUAGAAUAACUUACCUUGUUGUUGCUUAUGAUCCUUGAAACCUUGUGAGCCUAGCACCCCAAGUGUGAUGCCUCAAAUGCUUCACACAACACCAAAUGCAAAAGAGUAGACUUUGAAAGAAUCUUACACUGGCAAAAAUCGGCCUAGCCCUCACUUGUUCAUGUGUGUAUGUCCGAUUUUGGUGGAGAAUGGGUUCCUUAUAUAGUGUUGACACAUCUAGGGUUACACCAUGUAAACCCUAAUGCGUCAUGACUCUUCAUUUCAAUGACCCAUGAGUUUGUAACUCCCAUGGAGCAUCCUAUGGGUGGAACCCAACUUGAUAAUCCAUGGAGCCUCUUAGCCCACUAUACAAGUUAUGGAUGAUUUACAUAAUCAACCCAUAUAUUUAAUUAGUUAUCUUUUGAUCACUUAAUUAAUUCUAAAUUAAUUCUUGAUCAAACUAAUUAAAUAAUAUUAUUAAUAUAUUAGAACUUAUAAUAUAUUAAUAAUCCACAAGUGUUAUUUCUCUCAUUUAGUCUAUCCAAUUGCAUGGUGCCAUGCAACCCAAAUGGACCAUGACGGGUCAGGUCAAGUACAUACCAGAAAUAGUUAUGGACUAAGACAGCUUAUCCAACAUAUACUUCUUUGAUAUAUGAUAUGCUAGUUGAUUAUCUAUGUUACUGCAUGGAAGACCCUGGUGGGAGCCCGUGGCAGUUGGAUAUAAGACUAUGUGGGGGAGCCCAUGGCAUUCCUAGGUAAAGACCAUGUAGGGUAGUCCAUGGCAUGAUGGUAUAAGACCUUGGGGGAGCCCACAACAUCCUCAUAUGUUAGUAUGCAUGGCUUAGGUGGUAUAUGUAGCUUUUAUAGCUAAUAUGAUAUGUGUCAUGUGGAUUGUGUGUGGGGUAUGCUUUGGGGGUCUUACUAAGCAUUAACUUACAGUUUGUGGAUUUAUUUCAGGUUCAUCCGAGCCCAAGGCAAGGGCAAGGCUUGAUGUCGAGGCGAGUACUCUCUUAGGCGUUUUAUGGGACACUUUGAUGUUUUUAAAUAAAAGUUUCAAUUGAUAUGAGGUUGAAAACAAUUAUAUUUGGAUUUUGUAAUUUAUGGAGAUGUGUUUGGAUAAUCAAAAAUGAAAAUUUUCCUUUGAAAAAUUGGGUUGUUACACUCACUAAGCUUUGAGCAUACAAUUUCGGGUUGUGUUUUAGGUACCUCAGAUGAUCAUGGGAAGGUGAAGGCAUGAUCGUGCGUCUCCUCAUGUUUAUUUUAUGAUCUUUGCGAAAAACUCUGAUAAUAAAUAUGAUUGAAAACAUUUUUGUAAACCAUGGUGUUUUGUGGAAUUGUUCAAAAAGUUUAAUUUUUUUUCUAAAUUUUAUGGAUGUUACAAUGGAUAUGUAUGAAAGAGUCUUCUUUCAUGCUAACUUUGUUGAUUCCUGUCCCUACAUCACCCUCAAAUGACAUUGAUGUUUUCUUGAGGCCUUUGGUGGAUGAGUUGAAAAUUUUGUGGGCCAAAGAAGUCCAAAUGAGAGAUGCAUCAAUCAGCACUAUAUUCAAUAUGCGUGCAAUGUUGUCAUGGAUAAUCAAUGAUUUCCCAGCACGUAGCAUUUUGUCUGGAUGAAGUGGUCAAGGUUAUUUAGCAAGCCCUACUUGAAACGAAGACACAUCUUCCAUUCAUGUGAUCGAAAAGAUUUCUUAUGUUGGUUAAAGAUGAUUCUUACAUAUAAACCAUUGUUGGAGGUAGAGUCUAUUGUUUAAUGGCCAACCAGAGACAAGUGCACAUCCAAUAUGAUUUAGUAAUGCAACUAUAUUAAAUAAACUAACUCAUCUCCAUGAAAGGAAAAAAGGCGCGAUGAUAAAAUUUAAAAAAUAAGUUGAAUUAGACGAAAAAGAGUAUCUUCUUCAAGCUUCCAUAUUGGUUUUCCCUCAACCUAAAACACAAUAUAGAUAUUAUGCAUGUAGAGAAAAAUAUGAGUGAGAGUGUGUUGAAUAUUGCACUGAUUAACAAAAAAAACGACACAAAAGGAUCAAGAUAUGACUUGAAAAAAUGAGCAUUCAGCCAGAUCAAUGGCCAAAAAUGAAAGUUGACAACAAGAAGUAAGAAAUACUAACACAUGGUUCUUACUCUUUCAAACCAAUUGAUCGACAACGUUUCUAUCAAUUCAUUAAAGGAGAGAGACUACCUAAUGGUUUUGGAUCGAACAUUAACAAGACAGUUUCUGAUAUUAAAUCAAAUAUGGUUGGGCUAAAGUCUCAAAAUCAUCACAUCCUCAUGCAAUAAUUUCUAACUAUAGGGGUUCGAGCAGGUCUUGCAGCAAAUGUUUCAACUACAACCAUUGACAUGUGUAGAUUCUUUCAAAAAAUUUGUGCAUGGUCAUUGGAUAUUAACGACAUGAGAAAUGCCCAAUUAGAACUGGUAAAGAUAUUAUGCAAUCUUGAGUUGAUAUAUCCACUAUCAAUUUUUUUUGUCAUAAUGAUUCAUCUAGUUCUUCAUUUACCUAAAGAAGCCAUUCUUGGAGAGCCUAGACACACCAGAAGGUUCAAUAGCAGAGGGUUAUGUUGCAGAUGAAGCUUUGACAUUCCGCUCUAUGUAUCUUGAGGGCAUGCAAAAUAAAUUCAACUGUGUUGAUAGAAAUGAGGAUCCCUGAGAAGAAUUGUACGAACAAUAGAUUCUAAUAUGAAAACUUCAUAUGAAGAUGUAAAAGAUUUGGAUGAACACAAAUAUGUAAAUAAUCUAUGUUUGCAUUAGAGGAUCGAUAAAACAGUUUGUUACAAUAUUUGUGCAGAACUAGUCUAUGUCAAAAACUCUAUCCUCUCUACUAACUAGUAGUCCUAUAUAUAGGCAUCGAAGGAGAACUAGAAAGGAAUCCUAAGUCGACAGUUCAGAACUGCAAACCUAAGAUUAAAUAAGAUUCUAAAAUCGGAAUUACAACUACUCAAUUCGAAAUCUAAGAAAAGACACUAAACAUUACAAAUGCAUACAACUAGACACAAUCUAUUUCCAAACUCUAACAAUCCCGACCUUCCAAAAGGUUAUUUUUUUGUGUUCUCAUCACAAUGUCAAGCAAUGACAACUAAGAAAGUCACAUGACUUUUUUAAGAAGCGAAAAAAUAACUGCAUUGGUUUAUACUAAACAACUGCGAUGAGGAUUUAAUGAAAGGCUAAAAAUCAUAAGUUUUGUGAUCAAGUAAAUUCAUUUUUUAUAGUUUUAUGAUACCUUUAAAAUGUUCAAAUUGUUUUGUCCCACAUCCAACAAAUUCAAACUAGAAUCGCCUGAAACUGAUUUCAAAACGAAAUUUCCUUCAUGAAUCGAAAAAAUGUAAAUAUCUUAUAUAUUUAUAAUGUAAAACUAAUUUAUAUUAUUACUUAAGCGUACAAUCUUAUAUUUCCUUACAAAUUUAUCAUCUCCAAAAAGAUAUGCCUUCGAACUUUACUGACGAAUUAAAGGCAUUGGCUUGUGGUCUGUUGAAUGCAUAUUCUUACACUUUGUGCAUAGUAAAUGGUGUUCAAUUUUUCAUGCAUAACCGUGAUCUCUGACAUACUACUUAGAAUAGUGGUGCUGAUACAUUAGGAUAAAAAAGGACACCAUUAUAUGGUUAACUGGAGGAAAUCAUAAAGUUGCACUAUUUAAAUGGUCAAUCAGUUGUAAUCUUUCUUGGUAAAUAGUUCAAUGCGACACUAAGUAAUGGACUAAUUACUAAAAAAAGGUUGUUAUCAAUACCAGUCAUGAAUGGUGUGUUGUAAAACAUGGUAUGAUGAUCAACAAUACAUUUGAACCACAUUAGCUAAACAAGUGUUCUAUCUCCAAGAUCCUACUCAAAACAAUAACAGAAGAUUUGCGGAAGAUGUUCACCAUCUAAAACUUUGGGAUCAUCCAAGUAUCGGUGUUGUAAAUAAGAUAAAUGUCAUGAAUGACACACGGUCAACUAACUUUACCUUGGUUGUCGACUUAGGCACCUUGCUUACGCAGGCCUACACAUGCGACUUUAAGUGAAGUUGGUGAAUCAAGUGUGGGUGCUAGGAAGAAUGUUGCUCCUAAUAUAAAUGAUGACGAUUUCAUUAAUGAUGACAAUGAAGAUGGUGAUAUGUAAUCUUCAGAUAAUGAUGACGAUUUCAGUAAUGAUGAUGUUGUACAUGUAUAUUGUUCUAGUAAUGAUUCUGAUUCAUAGUGUGUUACGGUCAUUAUAUAUUUAGAUUGCUUAUAAUAUUUGUUAGAUUUCAAAUAGUGUUUAUUAGUUUUGUUUAAAGUAUGUUUAUAAUAUACUAGUAUUUUUCAUGUUUAUAAUAUCUUUUAAACAAAUGGCAGCACAUGUCGUGAGGAGAUAUGGAGGAGAUAGCGGGGAAAGACAUCUACAUGGGGUCGUUAACAGGAUAGCAUCGAGUUGUGCAUCUUAUAAGUUACAUUAGUAAUGGAUAUAUUUUUGAAAAUUUUAAUUUCUAAAUUUCCAAUUUUAUGUGUCAUUGUAGCAAUCUAGAAGAAAGUGUGUGGCAACGGAAGAAAUUUGAAUAUGCAUGAAGCGUACAGGGAUAAUUGUGAGAAGCCUUUACCUGUGUGCAUUGAUACCAUUGGGGAGACCGUUCGGUUGAUAGGGAAAAAUAGAAAAUGUUAGUGAGGUUGAUCAAAUGUACCACUCCAUUAUAGGUCUUGGGAAUGUGUUCAUGUCGAGUACAAAGAAUCUAUAUAUCAGGAGUUAGAAGAAAGUAUAUAAUACUUUUUAUGUGUAUUAAGUCUUAUACUUUUUAAAUAUUUGUUAUACUAAUCAUAUAUUUUAUUUUUCAAACCUGUUUUGAUCUUUAUAGCCGUUAGGUUACAAAUUUGUGGGAAACCGCUCGAGCGGGUAUCCAAGCCGACUGCCAAAUAGGAUAUAAAGAACAAAAGCAUGAGUCGAAACGUCAUUUUGAUAGAGUCAGCAGAUAUGCGGACGUGGAAACUACAAGAAGAAAUCCACCUGAUGAAAUGGACGCCAAUGCCUGGAAUGAAUUGAUUGAUCAUAUGUUUUGACCCCAGGUUAUGUGAAUAUGUCAACAAAAGGUAAAGAGCGUAGGGCGAAACUUCCGCAUACAAGUGCUCACGGUUGCAGGUCAUAUGCAAAAAGACACCAUAUGGAGGUAUAAAGUUUAUUUGUAUCAUAUAAAUUUUUUAUUAACACUUAUCUAAAUAUAUUAAUUGUCUUUGGAUUAUUAUAGGUUGAACAACGACUGAAGCCACACUAUAUUCAGGGUUGGAGACAAAUGCGCUUCAAGGAAGGCUUGGGUUGGUGUACACAUCGAGCAGAAGAAAAUUUGGCAAGUAAUAAAUGUAGUUAAUAUGUUGUUUAAAUAUGUUAUUAUUAUUAUUGUUAUAGUUUUUGUAUUUAAGGUGUAUUAUUAUUUAAGUGUUUAAAUUUAGUUGUUUGUUAUAAUUAAUGUAUGUUUAUUGUUCUUUUUAUUUUAGGAAAAAUCUAAGAGUAAUAUAGAAAAAUUCAAGAUGAGGUCGUGAAGGGAGAAGAUGUAAAUAAGUCUCAAUGUAUCACUCGUGCACUCGGGGAGAUAUGUGGACAUACUCACAGAAUUGGAAGGAAACUAAGAAACAAUAAUAUAUUUCUGAAUCAACCCGCUUCCACUUCUUCCCAAUCCCAACCCUAAAAUACGAAUGAAUCCCAAUUUAUUGCAUUAAGGUAGCAAAUGUAAGAAUGCAUGCAACAAAUGCGUAGCUCAUUGGCGACUGUAAUUCCUCACUACCAACCACCACCAAUACCACAUUUUUAAUUCAAUCUCAUUAUCUUUCAAAGAAAUACCCCAAACAAGCCAACAAACCAAUGAAAUUGAGACAAAAGCAGGUGAUGAUGAUUGCUCUUUUUUGUUAUUUUGAACAACGUUUGUUGAAGUCUUGUUAUUGUUUUUUUGCUUUAUCUCAUUCUGGUAUGUAGUAGACUUUAUGUAUUGAACUUGAACUAUAUGGGUUUGUUAUGUUUAUUUAGUUAUGACAUUAUGCUACAUACUUUCUAGAUUUGUUUUAAUAAAUAGGUUUGGUAUUUUAUAGAAUCUGUGAAAAUAUUUAAAAAAAAGGAAUACAGACGACAUGUCAUUGGUGUAGGUCUCAACUAUAAUAAUGGUUUUGACGUAUACAGACGACACGUCUUCUCUAUAGCUCAAACUAUAAAAAUAGUUACUCACUUUAACCGAUGACGUGUCGUCUCUAUAAGUUGACAUGUCCCGACGAUAUGUUGUUGGUAUAGUUAGACCCAUCCUGAUAAUAUGUCGUCAGUAAAAGUAAAUGAUAAUAAUUUACUUUUUCUUUGAAAAUCAGUUCCAAUGGACCCUACGCCGACAAAUUCGCGUCGGCGUAGGGGGUACCUAUCCCGAUGACUAUUUACACUUCCACCGACGAGGCUAUGCCGACAACUUUUUACCGACAACUUGUCGUUGGCAUAGAGUGUAUAAAAGUCAUUAGUAUAAGGGUAAAUUCUUGUAGUCCAACCCAUUUAACAAAUGCUUGAUAUGUGGGUUUAUUUUUAUGCAUGAUGGAUCGGUGAUCUAAAAUGACUUGUGACUUCAUGAGGGGGGCAUCAUUGUAAGUAUCGCAUAUGAUAGGAGUUCACUGGCUCAGUUGCUUUCCAUAACAUGCUUGUAGGAAAGAGACAUAGAAGACCGGGUAGAAACGGCUUUCCUCCGUUAAAUUUAAUUAGUAGACGACCCUGCCGAUACGAGCUUGGAUCUUAUAGGGAUGGAAAAUGUUUAUCAAGCUUGGGAUGUGGCUUAUGUUGGAUAGAUUUUUGACAACUGACCUUGAGGCAGACAUAGACCUCAUCGUUGAGCUGACAUUCGUUGGUGUGUUAGAAGUAAAUUCUCCAUUAAGGUUGCAAGGAUUUAGGAGUGGGUGUGAAAGGUGUCUUUGAUAGAUGAAACUGAUGAUAACUCUAGCAUGUGGGAGGGUAGAAUCCGAGGAGGUCGGACAUAAAUGGUAUGAAAUGGUGUCAUUCUAAUGGUGGUAUUAUAUUGACAAAAUGUACCAAAACUUUGUGAGGUGGAAAUAACAACUUCAAGUUUUUGGUUUGUCACUUGGAAAGCAAAAAAACAAAGGACUCUAAGGAAUGGUUAACCACCCCAUUUAACCAUUAGAUUGUGGGUGAUAGGUGUUGGAGUGGGAUAUAUUCAUAUUGAGUUGUUUAAAAAGCUUAGUAUUGAAACAUCUCACAAAUAAUGGGUGAUUUUGAACAAUUCAAUAGGGCAACCUAUCAAGUCGAUAGCUGCCAAAGGGAGUGGAAAUAGUUGAGAGAGUGUCGAUGCUAUAAAAUUGUUAUCAGGUGGGACAUACUUGAAUGAGAUUUGAAAAAUUGGCUCGUAUGUUCAACCAAUAAAAUUAUGUACUUAAGUGUCAUAUAGUAGCAUGGACUCCCGAAUGGCCUCGGUUAAGGUAGCGUGCUGUUCAAUGAUGAGGCAGUGGCAUAAGUGGUUCAGGGGUGAAACGACAAGGUGGUUUUAAUAGUAAAGCAUGUGGUCGUAUACCCAAUUAUUUGGAUUGUUAUUCGUAAAAUGAUCGAAAAAGAAUGGAAAGAUGAAUCUAUUUUUGGUAUAAUAAUAACAUAUAUCAUCUAGCCAUGGGAAAGUGGGAUAAUUGAUUAUCUGAUAGUGGUCGUGGAGCCAACUAAGUGCAAAUGGUUAUUCUCCCGUGAAAAAUCAUUCAUUGAGAAAGCGCUUAUAUACAAAAUACAAUACAAGCCCUUUGGUCCAAAUACACAAUAUAAUGGGCUAAGAAUACAACAAGAUAUCCGAUAACCCCCCCUGCAGUUGGAUCGGGAAGAGAAUUCCAAACGUUCAAACUGGUCUUGAAGUCGUUGAAGAGUUGCGAAGGAAGGACCUUUGUAAAUAUGUCAGCAUACUGAGUGGAUGAGGGUACGUGAAAGACGCGAACAACGCCCCUGGCAACCAGGUCACAGACAAAAUGAAUGUCAAUCUCUAUGUGUUUCAUACGCUGGUGCUACACUGGGUUAUGUGUCAUAUACAAAGAGCUGAUGUUGUCACAAUAGACAAUGGUAGCUUUGGAGGGAGGACAUCGAAGUUCACGAAGUAAAUUGCGAACCCAACAAGUCCGCCAACGGCGUCGGCAACUCCGCGAUACUCAGCCUCAGCACUUGACCGAGAAAUAACCCCUUGGUGUUUAAAAGACUAAGAGAUCAUAUUAUCUCUAAUAAAAACACAGUAGCCAGAUGUGGAUCGACGAGAGACUGGGCACCCGCCCCAGUCUGCAUCAGAGUAGCACGUGGAUCCGAUGAAGGGGAUACAUGUAGUUGCAGACCAUGAUCCAAAGUACCACGAAUGUAGCGUAAGAUACACUUGAGAGCAUGAAGAUGAGGCUCGCGGGGAUCAUGCAUGAAUAAGAAGAUCUGUUGAUCAACAUAGGCAAUGUCUAGUCUAGUGAAGGUGAGAUACUGAAGUGCACCAGCAAGACUGCGAUAAAGUGAUGGAUCUAGAAUGGGGACCCUAUAGCAUCUAGCUUAUGAUUUGUCUCAUCCGGCGUACGAGCUGGAUUGCACUGAGUCAUAUUCGCCCGCUCUAGAAUCUCAGAGGCAUACUUUCUCUGAUAAAGGAAGAGACCAUGAGAGGAGCGAGUAGCAGAGAUCCCCAAAAAAUAUUUAAGAGCUCCAAGGUCAGUCAUGGCGAACUCUCUGCUGAGUUGAUCAAUAACAGAAUGUAGAAAAACGGAAGAUGAAGCUGUCAGAAUGAUAUCAUCAACAUAAAGUAGGAGGUAUGCAGUGUCAGCUCCGUGACGAUAUAUAAAGCGAGAUGAGUCAGUGAGACUAUGCUGAAACCCCAAGCGAAGAGCAUGUUGAGCAAAGCGCUGAUACCAUGCCCGAGGGGCCUGUUUGAGACCAUAGAGGGACCGUUGAAGGUGACACACAUAAUAUGGAUGUUGUGGGUCUCAAAAACCAGGAGGUUGGUGCAUAAAAACAGUCUCCUGAAGAUGGCCGUGAAGAAAGGCGUUCUUCACAUCGAGCUGAUGAAUCGGCCAGUGUCUGGAGAUAGCCUGAGAACGGUCCGUAUGGUGGCUGGUUUUACAACUGGACUACACGUCUCAUCACAAUCAAUGCCUUGUUGCUGACUACGUCCGUUGGUGACCAAACACACUUUAUAACAUGAUAGAGAGCCAUCGGCAUGAAAUUUGUGUUUGAAAAGCCACAUAGAUCGAACUACAUUAGCCCCCGGGGGUCGCAGAACAACGACCCAAGUGACAUUUGUAAUAAGAGCAUUGUAUUCCUCAUUCAUGGCUUUAUGCCAAUUUGGGUCUUUCAAAUCCUAUAAGUAAGACCUCAGGACAGAGGGAAUGGAGAAAGUGUGGAGGUUGAGGCGAGUGAUAGGUUUGUAGAUGCCACUUUUUGAUCUUGUGUGCAUAUGAUGAGUUUGAGGUGGAGGUGGUGGUGGUAGUGGAGGGGUAAGGAGAGGUGGUGAUGGAGGUGAAGUGGGAGGUGGUGAAGGAGGGGAUGGGGAGUUAUGAGUGGAAGGAGAGACAAUGGGGGAGGGGGUAGUGGUAGGAGAUAAAAUUUGGUGAAGGUUGGGAGAUAAUUCAGAGUCAUUAAGGAAAUCAUAGGAUGGGGGAUUUGAGGGAGUAACUGAACCAAAAGGGAAUAUGGUCUCGUCAAAGGUGACAUGACGAGAAUUAAUGAUUCAUUUAGUGGAAAGGUCGUAACAGCGAAUGUCACGAUGGUAGGUGGGGUAGCCAAGGAAGAUACAGGGUGUGGAGCGUGGAUGGAGUUUAUGUGUAGUGUUUAGGUGAGGAAAAAAGAGACAACCAAAUACACGAAGGUGAUCAUAGGUGGGAUGGCGUUGAAAAAGCCGAUAGUGGGGAGUGUCAUUGGAUAUGGAGGUGGAUGGAAGGAUGUUGAGUAAGUGAGCAGCCAUGUGAAGGGCUUCGGGCCAGAAAGUGGGGGUAGAUAGGAAUGAAACAAUAGCGUACGCAUCAUGUUAUUUGUGGUACGAAUCAUACGUUCAGACCGACCAUUUUGCUAAGAGGUAUGACGACAUGAGAAACAGAAGGUAAUGCCAUGAGAGGCGAAAUGAUCAUGGAAGGAUUUAUUAUUGUAUUCCCCCCCCCCCCCCCCCCGCNUGUUUUAUGGUGCCUCCAAAUUGGGUUUUGAUUAUAUUAAAGAGAUGAAGAAAUUUGUCAAAUACUCGAGAUUUGUGUUUAAGAGGGUACACCCAAACGUGAUGAGUGUAAUGAUCUAGAAAUAAAGCAUAAUAAUGUAAACCACCAUUACUAGAUAUAGGAGAUGUCCACAAAUCAGAAUGAAUUAUUUCAAAAGGUUUAGACACAGUAGAAUCUGAUAAAUAAAAAGGUAAUCUAGUGUGUUUGCCAAGUUGACAAGCUUGACAAAUAACAUUAUUUUUUGAUAAAGAACAAGAAAUCGAGCUAUUAGAUGCUAAUUGCUUCAAGACUUGAUUGCCGGGGUGACCGGGUCUUUGGUGCCAAAUGGAUGAGGAAGUGGAAACAAAAGCGUGACUACUGGAUCUGGUAACAUGAUAAAGCGGUCCGGAGCUGUCAUAGCGGAUAAGAGGGCGGCGUGUCUGGUAAUCAAGAACAAUAAAACCGUAAGGAUCAAAAUCAAUAGAGCAAUUAUUAUGUGUAGUAAAUUUUCAGACAGAGAUGAGAUUUUUAAUGAUGUUGGGUGUUAUGAGCACCCUGUGAAAGUGUAAGGGGCAGUAUGGGUUUUGGAUAGGGAAAGUCGUAUGUCCCGAGUUCAUGACAGGAAUUGUAGAUCCAUUACCGACAUAAAUAGAACGAGGCCUAUUAUGAUAAUUACAAAGAGAAUCGCGUAUACCUGCGUUGUUGUUGUUGACAUGGUCGGUGGCCCCGAUGUCCAUAACCCAUCCGCCUUGUGUCGGGUCGGAGAGAGUCAUCGUACUGAACAUGGUCGGGAGAGAGGUAGGUUGAUCCAUGUCACCAAGCCAAGUCCAAGGAGGUUGCUGGACUGAAGGGGAUUGGCUUGAAGUCUGAUGGGCCUCAGGAGAGAAUCUGCUGGAUGGAGAAGGCGAAGUGGGCCUGCUGCCAAGUAGCCCAUUUUGGCUGAAAUAAGGCCUGUUCCACCCUUGGGCUAGCUGUGAGGAAUUCGGACCAGUGGAAGUCCACUGGACUACAUUUGAUGCGUGUGAACCAGGAGAGGAGAAGCCCCAUGGCUAGGCAGAAAUCGUCGGUGGCGGAACAAAGAACCACCCAUAUUGACGGUUCCCAAAGCUAUUUGGAUUUCUUGUAGGUAGGCGAUGAUAAGUGGAGGCGUGAUUCCCUCCCCUGCGAGACUGAUUUCUUCCACGGUUAGAGUUCGAGCCUCUUCCUUGAUUUGAUGAACAAGAGUCGACGUGAAGAAGAGAAGGAGAAGAGGAGUGACUUGUGUGGCAGGAAGGGCUAACAGUGGAGGAGGCGAGAUAGGUUUCUUCAACAGAGAGAGUGGUGCGCAUCUCCGAGAACGAGGGAAUAGGCUUGCGGUGACGAAGGAUGUUGGCCACACUCUUGAAUUUUGGGGAAAGCCCUUUAAGGGCAUACGAGAUUAGGUUCCUGUGUUUGACUUUUUCAUUGAUGCCUUCCAGCAGGUCAGCAAGUUUCUUCACUUUAUCACAGUAGGCGUGAACAUUAAGUUCACCCAUUUGAAUGUUUCUGAGCUCUGUCUCAUAUUACAUAGCAGUGGCUUCUUGAUCAUCAUGAAAAAUGGAGUGAAUAUCAAGCCAUAUUUGUUUGGCGUUGGUUUGUUUGGAGUGGGCAAAUGUGAUGAGGUUUUGGGAGAUAGAACCAAAGAGCCACAGUGUUACCAUGGAGUCAAGCUCUAACCAUUCAAUAUUCGUUGGGGGUUGAUUAGGUGGGCCAUACGUAUCGUCGAUGUGAUCCAAAACGCCAUAAGCUAUACAAUGGGCUUUGAAAAGAGCGCGCCAUGGCUCAUAAUUUCAUGUUGGGAGAUCUAGAAUCACAAGUACGUAUGUUUUGAUGUUGGUUAUUCCAUACGCCUUAUGUGCAGGUUUUGAUAUUGGUUGAUCUACUAAGGCUGUCAAUGAAGCAGUUAUCACCACCAAGCUUGUAGAUAGGUUCGACCCAAUGUAGGUUCAGCAAGAACAGGGCCCAAAAAAUUAGAGGGCCCAAUUUUUUUUAGCAUCUAUAAUAGACUAUGUUCAUGCAUUGGCCCAAAAAAAUUAGGUUACCUCUGUCAUACAUCAGCUGGUGACGCCAGCAAGCAAGAAAGGAGGGAGCAGGAACUGAAUUUUCUGGAAAACAAAAAAACUCUUCGGUUUCUUCUUCACUGAUAACGCGUGCAUGGGUAACAGUAACCAUCAUUACAGGAAUGGUAACAUCGAUUUACGUUCACUUAUCAAUCGAUUCUAUUCCUUAGAUUUACAUUCACUUCUUACUUCUUUUUCUUCUUCUUCACUGAUAAGAGAUAGCAAUCUUAAUUCUUUUUCUUUCCUACCAAACUCUAAAGCCUACCAGUAACCAAUGAUUUCAAUUUUUAUAAAGCAUACCAACGAUUUUAUAAGCUUCAAAAUAAGAAUUCAGAACCAUCAAAUUUUGAAAUUAGAAGCUUCAAAAUCAGAAUUCAGAACCAUCAAAAAUUGAAAUCAGAAGCUUCAAAAUCAGAAUUCAUAACCAUCAAAUUUUGAAAUAAGAAGCUUCAAAAUCUUACUUACUUGACAACUUGAGGUUUCGAAAUCAAAGGUAACAUUAAACUAUAUUUUUGUUUUUCAUGGGUUUGUUAUUUCUAAUUAAGUAAUUUGAUAAUUUCUUGUAAACUUUUCUUUUUUCUUUUUCUUUUGUUUCCAAGUUAGUAAUCAGUAAAUCGGAGGAACAAUGAUAUCGGUUUUUGUAAAUCAUAACUCAAAAGGAACAAGGAAUUGAGGUAAAUUCUUUUAAGUUUUUAUUUUUUUUCUUUUUCUUUUGUUUCGAGUCGCACCUUAAAGACCCUAAGUCACAAUGACUCCACUUCUUCACAUCAGCUAAGAACUUGUCCUGUAGGUUCCUUGGGACCACUACUAAGCAUUUAGACACUAACUCUAGACUGCUUCCCAACACUGCUCUGCCUCCUGAGACCUCCACUGUCCUCGCCAUUUUCUUUGUCCAUGCCAAUUAUAUAUAGUAUGAGACUGAAUAGACAUUCGAAUAAAUGACUCUUCCUCAAAUCCACAACCAAACAAGGAAUAGGAAGAAAGGCUAAAUCACACAUUAUAAGGCUAUAAAAUCCUAACCAUACACAACUAUGUAGCAUACACAAGAAAAUAGUAAGGAUAGGUUCAAUCUCACAAGAAUGAACUCCUAGGAUAAGGCAUUAAAAUCAGGCAAUAUUUCAUACUAAUUCUACAAGAUCCCUUAGCCUACCUUUAGCUAGCAUGCGAUUUUAUCAGCUCAUGAUAUAAACAUAUCUGCUCUACAUUACUAAAAAUGUAAAUUGAGGUAUUUUGGAAAACUGUUGCUCGAGUGCCGGUUGAUUGUACACAUUGCUUCUUUGGGCUUUUCUCCUAUAAAAGUCUUCAUUUCUUUAUUAAGUUCUUAAAAUGUUAUGAUCCUUAUUUAGAGUUUGCAAUCACCCAUAGAUUCAUCCAAAUCCCUCAAACCAGGGCUCUGAUCCCAAAUUGUAACACUUCAAAUUUCAAACCAAAAUUUUCAUUUUUAAGUUACCAAAAUCAAGGUUUCACAAAACAAGUUUUCAAUACAUAAUUAUUCAAAACAUUCAUUUCCAUAAUAUCAGAGUUCACAUCCGUCCCACCAACAAACAUCUCAGCGAGUGUUUACAAUCAGACCUUCGCUUUCCUGCGGUCCUCAGAAGUACCAGCCAUAUAUAAUCAAUAACUAUAAGCACAAAGCUUACUGAGUUCCCCAAAAUAUCAUGAACAACCAACAUAAAAUAAACAACUAUGGAUUAUCAGCAAUUCAGGGAACUAUCAGCAGUCCCAAUGAGCUAACAGCAUGCCCAAUAGGUUAUCAGCCAACCUGGAGACUAUCAACAAUCUUAAUCACAUAUAAUCAACAAUACAUAGUAAAAGCAGCAAGACCCAACUGGUCAUCUUAGAUACAACUAUUCUACCACACAAGUGAGAUUGAGUGAGGAGAUUCACCUAAUACUGAUGACAUGAAAAACCUAGCACCCGAACUGCCAGAUCUAGACUCCGCCUAACCUGAAAAAUAAUUAACCCUAAUUAAUAAUUAAGUUCCACAACUACUCACGAGUCCAAAAUCCACAGUUAAACCCACUAAGGGCAAAAAGGACUAUUUUGCCCUUCCCUCAGCCCCAAAACCCCAAACUUUGACCAAAGGCCCACCAUUUGGACGUCUUAAUCCAUUAAGACAAUCUUUCCAACUACAGAUCUAACUUAUUUGGAAUCCCUUAAUCCAUAAAGUCUUGGGCUUUAAGCCUUUUCAUGGCUAUAAGAGGCUAAAAUAUCAUUUCAUUCAUUCCAAGCCACAUUACUUAUGCAUGAAUCAAAAGGAAAGAUCAAAGAAGGAUUUUUAUCAGUCUAGGUACCUUAAGAUGCAUGAAUGGACAUCUUAAACUCUCUGGAGUGUCCCAAACUCAAAAAGGUCCAAACUUUUAGGACUUAAGCUCAUAGAUCUUAAACUAAGGAGAUUUAGAGGAACACUAGUCAAGGUAUAAGCUUUGCACCUAAAAAUGAUGCACAAAGGUGGGAAGUUUCUGGAUCUCCAAGCUUGCUAGCAACUUCCUCUUCUUCUAUCACCUCCUUCUUCACCUACAAGGGCCAAGAAAUACUCAAAACUUGCAAAAACACCCACACAAGGCACAAACACGAGAUUAGGGUUUUAGAGAGGUUUUGAGGCUGAUAAGCAUGGCUAGAAAUUAGACCAUAAUGUUCUUUACAUAGGGACUAACUCGAAAUUUGGGUUUUCCAUCUGAGCCUAGUACGCCCAGCGUACCCAUGAGUACGGCCAUCAUACUAGGUGGUCCUCCAUGAUUAUGCAUGGCGCAUGCAUACACCAGCGUACUAUGCUUACCAACUUUUCACUUUUAAGGACUAAUUUUGACACUGUAGGAAAAGAUUCAAGAAUAAAUCACAUACCAUAUUUUGGGAUGUUACAAUUCCCCCCCCCCCCCAACUAAAAUCAGACAUCUCCCCCAAAGUCAUCCUCCGGAAACUGCUCAAGAUACUGCUCACGCAUCUCGAAAUCCGGUUCCCAAGUCCACUCCGAACCUCUAUGGUGUUGCCACUGCACUUUGACCAAGUUCACGACCUUAUUCCUCGAGGCUUUCACCUUUUAAUCCAAAAUGGCUACAAGAUUUUCCACAUAAUUUAGAUGAUCAUCGAACUUAAUAUCCUCCAGGGGAACCACAACGCCUCAUCGGCUAUACACUUCCUUAGUUGGGAUACAUGGAAAAUGUCAUGGAUCCGAUUCAGCUCCUCCGGUAGUUCUAAAUGGUAAGCUACCUUGUCUACACGAGCCAAUACUUCAAAAGAGCCAAUGAACCUAGGGCCCAGCUUGCCUCAUUUCCUAAAUCGGAUAACACCCUUCCAGGGUGACACCUUCAGGAGCACAAAAUCCCCCACCUGAAACUCCAAAUCUGAGCGUCGUUUAUCCGCAUAAAUUUUCUGACGAUGAUGCACUGUCAAAAGCCUCUACCGAACCUGUUGUAUGAGCUCAUUCGUCUCGAGUACGAAUUCCGAGCUCCCCAUGACCCUCUAUCUCACCUCGCCCCAACAAAUAGGAGUCCGACAUCUCCGACCAUAAAGGAGCUCGAGCGGGGGCAUACCGAUACUGGCAUGAUGAUUGUUGUUAUACAAGAAAUCAUCCAACGAAAGAUAGGAGUCCUAACUUCCACAAAAAUAAAUAGUUCAGGCGCGCAUAAUAUCCUCAAGCGUCUGAAUCAUGUGCUCGCUCUGCAUGUCUGUCUGCGGGUGAUACACAGUACUAAAAUGUAGUCGGGUACCCAACUCCUUAUGAAAUCUCUUCCAGAAUCUGGAAGUAAAAUGCAAAUCUCGGUCAGACACAAUGGACGUCGACACGCCAUGUCGAGCCACCACCUCACGGACAUAAAUCUCGUCCAACUUCUUUGCGGAAGAGUUCUCACUAACAACUAAUAAGUGAGCACUCUUUGUCAAACGAUCCACUAUCACCCAGAUAGUGUGAGCACCCCUCCCAGUCCUCAGUAACUUGGUGACGAAAUCCAUCGUGAUCUGCUCCCACUUCUAUAGGGGAACCUCUAGAUGUUGCAACUUGCCAUGAGGGCACUGGUGCUCCACCUUGACCAUCCGACAUAUCAAGCAUCGCUCCACAAAUCAUGCCACAUCCCUUUUCACACAUAGCCACCAAUAAUUAUGCUUCAAAUCAACAUACAUCUUUGAAGCCCCCGGGUGAAUAGAAAAUAUCGAUUUAUGGGCCUCUUCCAUCAAAAUCCAUCGGGCCCCACCCACAUAUGGCACCCAUACUCGCCCAUGAAGAGUCAAAAGCCCUCUAUUGUCUAAAUCAUAUGUCGAAAUCUGAAUGAUCACCCGAUCAUGCUUCCGGUUUUCCUCCUUUAUGGCCUCCGUCUUGCCCCUUUGAUGAUCUCUAAAACUAGAGUCAUCAUGGUCAUCCUCAUGCAUACAUCCCGUAUUGGGGUACUCACUGCCCUCUGCCACAAGGCAUCGACCACCAUAUUGGCCUUGCCUGGAUGAUACAAGAUCUCACAAUCAUAGCCCUUUACUACGUCUAACCACCUCCUCUGCCUCGUAUUCCAAUUAGGCUGAUCCAUAAGGUAUCUCAGACGCUUAUUGUCCGUGUAGAUGGUACACCAAACACCAUAGAGAUAGUGGCACUAAAUCUUGAGGGCGAAAACUUCCGCCCCUAACUCCAUAUCAUGAGUAGGGUACCUCACCUCGUGAGGCUUCAGCCGCCUCGAAGCGUAGGCUAUCACAUGCCCUCUUUGCAUCAACACAAAACCCAAUUGUAAGAAUAAAAACAAAGAUCGCUAGAUUCUAUAGUAAAUAACGUGAAUUAAAUGACAAGAACAUAGAUCAAAAUAGUGUCGAAUGCUUUGAUUAUAAUAGCUCUAGAAGAGUUCAAUGAGAGAAAUUCUCUAUAAGAGCUAGGUAGGGCGACCAAAAAGUUAACCUUAAUAAUACAUGUAUUCAAUAUAUAUAUAUAUAUAUAUAUAUAUAUGAAAAAACACGAGAACGAACAGGCCCAUCUCGAGAUAAAUAAACCGGUACAAAACAUAUUUGACACAAUACUAAUAACCCACCAAUCUCCCUCUUUAUGUCAAAUUAGGAAGGAGAGCAUUCACUGUUGUCUCUUCCACACUUUGAACAGUCGUGGCAUCAAAUUCAGAAGGGUAUUUUUGACCAUAAGGUACCACUUUAUCAUAUCAGAGAAGCACUUAUGAUCGGCAACAAUGUUAACUUUGUAGGCUUCAGUUAGUCCCAUGAUAGAGUUCAAAGCAACCGUUGAGUAUAAGUGUUUGUCUUUUAAGAAAAAUCUGCUCUUCUGAACUUUUUACCCUCCUUUCGUUGAUACACCACACACCAAUCUUCCUUUCUGAUUUUACCCAGCUUGAGCUUGUGUAGAUCCUUCGGUUCCUCUUUAGCCUUCAGAACCCGAUUUUUCUUUAGAACGGAUGCUAUUUCUAUAUCCAUUUUUUGCAACUUCAUGAAUAUAACAAAUAAACAUCCUCUUUAGAUGAGCAACGACUGGCUCGUAAGUAUUUUCAUCUUUUAACAUAAUCAAGAACACUGAAAUCCAAUCGUAAGGAAUCAUGCAUGGUAAGUCUGCAAUAGUACAUUCAUCCUCGGUACGGCUAGCUCCUCGGAAUCCUUUAAACUUAAUGUUUAUGAAGUUUUCAGUCGAAACAUGUGCAUACACUUUCAAAGCAGCAAUAUUCUUUAAACUCCAUGUUUUUUAUUGAGGCUUUCCAUACUUAAGAUAGAAAGAGAAGAGCAUAUGAUUAACAUCGUAGUCUGAAAGUGAAGCUCUCUCAAUCUUCUCGAAACAUCGGAAUAGAAAAGUCGUGGAGUGAUUAGGAAAUCUAGUUGAGAGUCAGCAGUAUUUUUCAGCUCGAAAGAUACCGAAGGCUCCAACCAGUGAAUAUUCAGAUCAUUAACAGCUUCGCUCUGAAUUCUUUCCAUAGUCAAACGCGGAAAAAGCGACUUUUAAGUUCCAAGGGUAACUUUGGCAAUGUGGGUUUCCAUUUCUUUAGCUUAUAACUCCUUUCGAAGAUGCAAACGAUUAUCAAGUUCCCUAUCACGUGUCUUUAUAACUAGCUUUUUGCCUUCUGAAAGCUCUUCAUCAUCAUCAUCAAUCACUUUCUAUUUGCCUUUACUUGAUGCAGAAACUUCAUUACCCUUCUGAGCAUUAGUCUUCGGUUUUUUUCAUGAUUUUCAUCAGUCUUUUGCUUUCCUUAAGGUUCUUAUUUGUUUUCUUUGAUGUCUCCCCUUGUUUCGAAAGAUCAUCGCUAUCCGAAACACCCUCAAUUUUGUUUAGCAUCACAAAGACAGACAUGAGUUAGUCUGUAAGGUGUUGUCGACCGAGACUAUAAGUAAGGAGUCACGAGUCUCCACAAUCCGGUGCAAUUAUUGAUUUAUUUUAUAAACACAACUUUUGAUAACUGUUUUCUCAGACUCCAAAUCAUCCAGGCGCUUGUUUGCAUAAUUCAGUUUGACCGGAAGAACCUUGGCUUUCUCAAUCUUUGCAGCCAAUUUAUCCAUAAGAUCAUUCUCUGCAGCAAGGUCUUUCUGAAGUUUAUCAAUCUUUGAAACAACAGAUGCAUUGAACUCGGUAUUAUCAAUCUUGAUCUCAGAAUGAACACGUGAAAGAGCUUCCUUCUCAGCAUGUAGAGUUGUUCCAAUACCUGCAAUGACUUUAUUGACAUUUUCAGUAUUUUGAUCAGAUGAGCCUCUGAAUUCAUCCAUGAAUUUUGUUACUUCAGUAUGUAGUUUUUCGACUUUUUCGGUCAUUUCUGCAACGGUUUUCUCUGAUGCUUGAAUUGCCUUGGUCAAAUCUUUAAGGACUUUCGCAUUUGCCUUCAUGAACAUCUCAACACUUGCUUGGUGGGACUUCAGCAAGUACUCAUAAAUAGAUGAUGAUUUGGAUGACUCCAAAAUAGAAUCCAACUUUUCAUUAAGUUGUUUAAAUUGCCCUUUAGUCAUCGGUGCUUCAUCAUCAUCACUUGUUUGAUUGAUGGUGAAGAGGCUGGAAACAAAAUCUUGAAUGUUCUCUUGAUCAUCCCCAAACAGAAUAUCUAGAUCAUCAUCACAGAAUGGAGAAGUGGUAGAACUGCCUUGACCCAUGUUGACAUCAUCCCUCGUAUCAGAUACGUUGACAUAAAUUCUGAAAGUAUGUACCUCCUCCGAAACAGAUUUGGUAACAGUGACUUCAGGUUUACUUGUGAUUGUGGUUGUUGUGGUGGUGGUUGAUUAUGUAAAGAUGGGAGUGUGAGAAUGGAAUAGAGAUCUGAGGAAGUGAAGUUCCAACAUAAAUCCUUGGUGUUAGUUGAGGAAUAGAGAUCAGAAUUGUAGAACUAAUAGGAAAGGAUGGUGGAGUGUUCAUCUGAAAGAAAUCAGAAAAGUGAGUAGAAGAAGUAGGUGGAGUGGAUACCUUCAGAAUGGGUUCGUUUGGAGUUGGUUCCGAAGUUGCAGCAGUAUCCUUAACUUCAUGUUGGAUUGUAUCAUCACCUCUGAGUUCAGAAAUGGUCCUUGAUUUCGAAUCCUCCUAAGUAAUGGGAAACGGAGAUCUCAGUUUACGAGCUUGAUUCCUGGUCUUCUUCUUUGUAUUUUUGACAACUUCAGAAGGACUAGCUUUUCCCUUUCGCUUUGCUCCCCUCUUCGGUUUGUUUGCCUCAAUCUCUUUUCUCAAGUCAUCUGACAUAGGGAGAGCACCAAAAGGAGGUAAUUUUCGACAUUCAUUCACUAUAACAUUGUCUUGAGGCACCUUUGCUAGCAUCUCCUCCAAAAUUGAACCAAUAAAACUGAACUUGCUUGGGCCAGACAUCAUAAAAAUUGACGUCUGAAGAAUCGGAAUUGCAGCAAUAAUGGAAUCAUUCGUCAUAAGAACCUUGAAGUGAACUAGGGCUCGUUUGACAACAAUCGACCAAAAACGAGCGCAGGAGAUCUCGGUGUUGUGAGUAGUAGAGGUUGUGCUCUGAAUGAGCUGUGUCCAUAGGAUAGAACCAUAAUCCAAAUUGAUUCCAUGGUAGAGGCCAUAGAUAAUAGCAUAGAAUAGCUUACUUGCGUUGUCAGAGCCUGUAACUCGUUCAGAAAAUCUCUUGAAUAGUAGAGUGAAUAGUCCGUUCCACAUUGGAGGAAGAUUGGGCUUCCUAAACUUAGACAACAAUGACAUAUCCCCAAUGUAACCCAUCUGGUAAAACAUGUCGAUGAGAUUGGUGAUGGAAAUCGAGUCAGAAUCCACAAGGCCUUCAGAUGAAUCAACCCCUAACAUUCUGCAGAAAUGAGCUUUGGUGAUCGAGGUCUUGUGAGAGGCUACCUCAAAUUUAAUAACCCCAUCAACAUGAACAUAAGAAGCAGAAGAAUAUGCCUUGGAAAGAUGGACCACAUGAAUAGAUUCUAUCAUGGUCAAAGCUUGAGCCAGUGGCGAAAACCUUAAACAUUCAAUCAUCGGCCUUAGGGUUUCAUUAUAUCGAAAUGAGUCAAGAUCGAGAAUGAGAUUUUAACUUGGCUUCACAUUCAGAAUGAUGAAAGAGGUGGAUUUAUCAGCAAAAGAUGUAGUUUCAAAUGAUCCGGCCAUUGUAAGAUUCUAAGAAGAUGAUGAACAGUAGAGAAAGAAAGGGGUUUUUGCCUUGAGAGGUUUUGAAUACUUUGUGAGCGAUGAGAGAAAAUCAAUCAUCGAAAAACCCUUUUAUACGUCAUGAGUGGUGAGAGAAAAUCACUGUUUGACAUUCCUAUAUCUCGUAAAAGUAGCCUUGAAAAUCAAGACAGGUGUAUGUGUCAGGCGUCAUUGUAACUGACACGCAUGAUGUCAGGCAUUUGAAAAAAGACGUGCCUGAAUUGAAUCCUUAUCUCCAAGGAACCACCAUUUCAGUUUCGACUCAUUCGGAAUUAAAUGCCAAUCCACCAUAACUUGUUCUCUGAAUAACAAUAAUCAAUCGGAAUUAGAACCAGACUUGAAAAAAUCAUAAAGAUUUUUGUGCAAGAGUGUGCCAAAGAAAAAGAAAUAAAUCAAAUUUAAUUUCUAAUAUUUUGUGAUGUCAAAUAAAAAUGACAUGAAAUUCAGAUGGAUCCUGGGCAACGAUCUCUUCCUUCUGAGUCAAGAGAGACUCCGAAGUGCUUGUGUGGUAUCUCGUUGAAUUGCGAUAAACUAUUUAUUAAGAAAUAGUGAAAGACUUCUUUUAAGUAGGCUAUAAGGGUGGCUUAAGCUUCAAUCAAAUUCCGAAACUCGACAUAAGUCCGAAAAUCUGAGAGAAGUACUUGUUUGACCAGUGUAGCCAUAAGAACAAGUAUUCUUUGAAUAUAAUUUAAGUGACUGAAUAUUAUGGAAUUAUCAAGAAAAAUAAAAACUAGAUCUUUUGGGAAGAAAAGUCUUAGGUCGAGAGCUUUUCAUUAAGAUCACUAAAAAAAUAAAAAAUGAGAUCUUAAACUUGCGAAGGUACAAACCAUAAAGGUUGUAUUCGUCAAUUCUUUGGUGAAAAUAUCUAGAACAUAUUAAUUGUUCACCGUCAAUUCAGAAAUAGGUUUCAGAUUUUGGGUUUCACUCAAAUCGUGGUGAUAACGAAUUCAUGAUCAUAAACACAGAUGUUGUGUAACCAUAAACCUCAGUGGUAAUUGCUGAGAGUCUCAAGGGUUACGUUUGUGAACACGAAAUUGAUGGAGAAAUUUGAGAUUGGUUCCGAAGAAGAAAGUGUACCUCUGCUAUAAUUGAAUAAGCAGUCAACUCUUAACUCAAUAUGAGAAGAGUAAGGUAGCUCGAUGACUUAUGUGAUUUAUCAGCCUGAUUGGGAUGAAACAAUCGGAAUGAAAGUUUCAUUAAGGCUUAAAACAUAGAGGCUGCGAGGCUUGAGACAACAUGCAUCAGCAUGCUUCUAGGGACACUUAACUAGUACAUAGAUUAAGAAUUAUACAUGCCCCAUUGUUCUGAAUUGAGAUAAUGAAGAAUAUGUAUUAUAUCUCAAAAGUAAACUGUUUUUGGAAUUUUUUUGGUUUUUCGAAAAAGAUAAAACAAAAAUUAAAAAAUAUUUUUGUGAUUUUUGGAUUUUCUGAAAAAGAAAAGAAAAACAAAAAAUAAAAUAAAUAUAAAUAUUAAAGAUAAAUAAGUUCAGAAACAUAAAUGAACAGUAACUUCCGAAGCUCGAAAUCAAUCGAAAGUAACUUAAUAUACAUAGGAUAUAACUCAUUAUGAAACUCUUGAUGAACAGUAGAUUCCGAAUCUCAGAAUCAAUCGGAAUUUGAAAAAUGAAUUUCGAACCAUUUUGAAGCUCGGAACAUGAAUAGUGAUGUCCGAUUACGAAGGGGAUUUCAGAACUCAGUCCGCUUCAAUCAUUCCUAGCCCUUGUAAAAUUAUAUCGAACGUCAUUUCAGGUAGGGCCUUAGUGAAGAUAUCAGUUAGUUGAUCAGAGUAUCUAACAAUGUGUACUUCAAUGUUUCCAUCCUCUACACGAUCCUUUAUAAAAUGAUAUCUCAAUGCAAUAUGUUUCGUCUUUGAGUGUUGCACUGGAUUAUGGCAGAUUCUGAUUGUGCUUUCUGAAUCAUAGUAUAACGGAAUCCUCUUCAUGUUGAUUCCAUAAUCCCAAAGCUGAUUAUGAAUCCAUACAACUUGGAAAGUGCACGAUGCAGCUGCGAUGUAUUUAGCUUCUGAAGUAGAUAGAGAUACACACAUCUACUUCUUGGAUUGCCAACUCACAAGUUUGCCAUCCAGAAACCGACAUCCCCCAAAAGUGCUUUUGUGAUCGAGACCACAUCCACCAAGAUCAGCAUCAGAAUAUGCUUGCACAAAGAAUCCAAAAGGAUACCAAAUUCCGAGAGAGGUUAUUCUUUUGAGGUAUCAGAAUAUAUUCUUCACAUCAAUCAUAUGACAUUCACAUGCAUUCUCCUGAAACCUAGCACAAUAACAAAUAGCAAACACAAUAUCUAGACGACUCGAUGUUAGAUACAUUAAAGACCCAAUCAUCUGUCGAUAUAGAGUUAUAUAAGUUGUUGGCUUGCCCAAGGAUUGAGUGAGUUUGUUUCUGAAUCCCAUUGGAAACUUGACUAUUGAAUCACCCACCAUGCCAAAUUUCGAUAGCAAGGUCUUUGUGUAGGCUUCUUGGUUGAUCAAUAUGCCCUCAGAACUCUGACUAAUGUUUAAACCAAGGAAAAAGUUAAUUGGACCCAUUGAGCUCAUUUUAAAUUUAGUUUCCAUCAGUUUUCGGAAUUUAGCUAUUAAUUUAGAAUUAGUGGGUCCGAAAAUGAAGUCUCAACAUAAAUUUGAACGAUCAUUAAGUGGUCACCAUCUUCCUUGCGAAAGAAGGUUGGGUCAACCGAACCUUGUUUAAAUUUUGACUGCUUUAAAAACGAGUAAGGGUUUCAUACCAUGCACGAGGUGCUUGUUUCAAACCAUACACAACUUUAUCCAAUAUAUUGCAAUGAUUUGGAUAUUUUUCAUUAACAAAACCUAGUGGUUGUUGCACGUACAGACCCAGUGUUUCCAGUAGUGCGGGCCCAAUACUACCUUCCACACUAACCCGUAUUUUUCUCGAGCCGCACCCUCAAGACCCUAAGUCACAAUGACUCCACUUCCUCACAUCAACUAAGAACUUGUCAUGUAGGUUCUGUGGGACCAUUACUAAGCAUCUAGACACUAUCUCUAGAAUGCUUCCCAACACUGUUCCGCCUCCUGAGACCUCCACUGUCCUCGCCAUUUGCUUUGUGCAUGCCAAUUGUAUAUAGUACGAGACUGAAUGGAUAUUUAAAUAAAUGAUUCUUCCUCAAAUCCACAACCAAACAAGGAACAAGAAGAAAGGAUAAAUUAGGCAUUCUAAGGCUAUAAAAUCCUAACCAUACACAACUAUGUAGCAUACACAAGAAAAUAGUAAGGACGGGUUCAAUCUCACAAGAAUGAACUCCUAGGCUAAGGCAUUACAAUUGGGCAACAUUUCAUCCUAAUUCUGUAAGAUCCCUUAUCCUACCUUUAGCUAGCAUGCAAUUCCAUCAGCUCAUAAUAUAAACAUAUUUGCUCUACAUUACUAAAAAUAUAAAUUGAGGAAUUUUGGAAAACUGCUACUCGAGCACCGGUUGAUUCUACACACUGCUUCUUUGGGCUUUUCUCCUAUAAAAGUCUUCAUUUCUUUAUUAAGUUCUUAAAAUGUUAAGAUCCUUAUUUAGAGUUUGGAAUCACCCAUAGGUUCAUCUAAAUCCCUCAAACCAGGGAUUUGAUACCAAAUUUUAACACUUCAAAUUUCAAACCAAAAUUUUCAUUUUUAAGUUACCAAAAUCAGGAUUUCACAAAACAACUUUACAAUACAUAAUUAUUCAAAAAAUUCAUUUCCACGAUAUCAGACUUCAAAUCCGUCCCAGCAACAAACAUCUCAGCGAGUGUGUACAAUCAGACCUUCGGUUUCCCGCGGUCCUUAGAAGUAUGUGCCACAUAUAAUCAACAACUAUAAGCAUAAAGCUUACCGAGUUCCCCAAAAUACCACCAACAACAUAGCAUAAAAUAAACAACUAUGGAUUAUCAGCAAUUCAAGGAACUAUCAGCAGUCCCAAUGAGCUAACAGCAUACUCGAUGGGUUAUCAGCCACCCUAGAGACUAUCAGCUGUCUCAGUCACAUAUAAUCAGCAAUACAUAGUAAAAGCAGCAAGACCCAACUAGUCAUCUCAUAUACAACUAUUCUACCACACCAGUGAGAAUGAGUGAGGAGACUCACCUGAUACUGAUGACACGAAAAACCUAUCACCUGAACUGCCGGAUCUAGACUCCGCCACGCGAACAAAACAAUUAACCCUAAUUAAUAAUUAAGGUCUACAACUCACAAGUCUGAAAUCUAAGGUUAAAUCCACUAAGGUUAAUAAUGACUAUUUUGCUCUUCCCUCGGCCCAAAUACCCUAAAAUUUGACCAAAGGUCAAUGUCAAUGAAAGUCAACAGAAAGUCAACACUCAAUGAGUACGAUGGACAUACCACUCCUAACGCUAGGCGUACAACAAGAUUAGUGUGCAAUGGGGUGGAGCCAGGCUAUGCUGCGCGUAGCUAGGAGUACGCACGACGUACUCCACGAACCAUCAAAUCCACCAUUUUUAUGUCUUAGUCCGUUAAUACAAUCUUCCCAACUACAAAUCUAACUGAUUUUAGAAUCCCUUAAUCCAAAAGGUUGUGGUCUUUAAUCCUUUGCAUGGCUAUGAGAGGCUAAAACAUCAUUUCAUUCAUUCCAAACCACAUUACUUAUGCUUGAGUUUAAAGAAAAGAUCAAGCAAGCAUUUUUACCAAUAUAGGUGCCUUAAGAUGCAUGAAAGGACAACUUAAACUCUUUGGAGUGUCUCGAACUCAAAAGGUGCAAAUUUAGGGGACUUAAGCUCAUAGAUCUUAAACUAAGGAGAUUUAGAAGAACAAUAGUCAAGGUAUAAGCUUUAUACCUGAAAAUGAUGCACAAAGGUGGGAAGUUUAUAGAUCUCUUUCUUCUCCAACCUCCUUCUUCAACUGCAAGGGCCAAGAAAUACUUAAAACUUGCAAAUAGACCCACACAAGGCACACACACGAGAUUAGGUUUUAGAGAGGGUUGGAGGCUGAUAAGGAUGGAUAGAAUGAGACCAUAAUGUUCUUUAUAUAGGGAAUAACUCAAAAUUAGGGUUUUACAUUUGAGCCUAGUAUGCCCAACAUACCCAUGAGUACGCCCAACAUACUAGGUGGUCCAUUUCAAUAAUGCAUGACACAUGAGUACACUGUGCGUACCCAUGUGUACGCCCCACGUACUACGCUUGCCAACUUUUCAUUUUUAAGGACUAAUUUUGACACUUUAUGAAAAGAUUCAAGAAUACAUCACAUACCUUAUUUUGGGAUGCUACAAUUUUGAUCUCAAAUUGCAGAUUUUCUGAUUUUUUUAGAAGCAUAACAUUGUUUUCUGAUUUGAAGUGUCAAAAAUCAUAAGGUAAUUUAUAGAUGUACGAUAUGAUAUCAUUGUUCUUUUUUUCCCUGAUAAUGAUACACUUGUUCUUUUCUUAUUUGAUGUGAUUUCUUCAUUAUUAUUAUUUUUUUUAUGUGAUAUUGGAUUUCUGAUUUGGAUUCUGAUUUUUUUUUGUAGUUUUAAUUCCUUCUCUUGGUGAUUUGAAGUGUGGAAAUUUUGAACCAAGAAGAAAUCUACAAAUCGCAUGUUGCAAAUGAGGUCAUAUCUUUCAUUUCUAUAAUUUACGAUGUCUACUAGAAUAAAAAAAAAAUAUGCAUCUGGAUUUGAAAAACAUAAGAAGAAACAAAAAAUAUAAGAAGAUAAUAAAACUCAAGCGGAAUCUAUGGAUAAGUUUAUAACAAAAAAAACACAAAACUUUUCGGAAAAUGAAACACAAAAGGUUAAUGAAGCUAAUCUUGAUGAUAAUGAUAAUGUUGGUGUUGAUGUUAAUCAUAAUGAUAAUGUUGAUGUUGAUGUCAAUGAUAAUGUUAAUGAUAAUGUUGAUGUUAAUGAUAAUCCUAAUGUUGAUUUUCACACUUUUGAUAUAUUUGAUCCAAGAAAUUAGGAUGCUCUUGAUUCUAACUUGAUAAAUAUUUUAGCAUUGAAAGGUCCUAAAAGAGAUUUAUCCAUUAUAAAAGGUCAUAAAGAUAAAUAUUUAAGAAGAUUUUUUGCAACAUAUUAUACUAAAAGUUUACCAAAUGGGGAGAAAAUGUGAUAGAGACUGACUUAUUUAUUCUAAAGAAAUUGAUAAUUUUUUUGUAUUUGUUGUAAAAUAUGUCAGAAAGGGUGUGAAAAUGACCAAUUAGCAAAUGAAGGUUUUAGGGAUUGGAUACAUCUUAACACUAGAAUUAAAGAGCAUGAAACUAGUAUGUAACAUGUUAAAAAUAUAAAUACUUGGUAUGAUUUGCAUUUAAGACAAAAAAAUCAAACUAUUGAUAAUGCGACAAAAAACAAUUAGAAAAAGAAAAGGUUCAUUGGAGACAAGUUUUGUUGAGAAUUAUCUCUAUUCUGAAAUUUCUUGCUAAACAUAGUCUAGCUUUUCGUCGUACUAAUGAGAAAUUUUAUGAAGAUAACAAUGGAAAUUUCUUAGGCUUAUUUGAAAUGUUGGUUGAAUUUGAUAUUGUUUCUUAUGACCAUAUACAAUGUAUUACAAAUGAAAUUGGUUUUCAUAAACAUUAUCUUGGGCAUAGGAUACAAAAUGAAUUAAUAUGUUUGAUUUCUUCAGAAAUAAAGUCUAUGAUUAUUAAAAAGACAAAAAUAAUACAAAAUAUUUUUCUAUAAUACUUUAUUGUACUCUCGAUAUAAGUCACCAAGAACAAAUGACUAUUAUUUUAAGAUAUGUGGAUGUCUUGUCAAAUGUUGUUUGCAUGGAAGAAUCCUUUUUUAGGGUUUUUAGAUGUAAAUGAUACAACUGGCCAAUGACUUUUUGAUGUUUUACAAAUAAAUUGAAUUUGCUUGAUCAUGAUUAAUAGUGUACGUGGACAACAUUAUAAUAAUGGAUCAUAUAUUAAAGAAAAACAUCAAGGAGUGCAAAAUUUUUUUUUAGAUAUAUACACCUUGUGGUUGUCAUAGUUUGAACUUAACAAUGUGUGAUAUGGCUAAUACUUGUGAUAAAGCUAAAGUUUUUUUUUUGGAACAAUACAACAUUAUCUAUUCAAUUUCGCAUAUUCUGCUAAGAGAUGAAAUUUUAUAAAAGAUAAUGUGAAAAGGGUAGCCACUCGUUGGGAGAGUCGUGUUGAUAGUGUUAAAGUACAAGAUUUCAAAUUUUUGAUAUACAAAAAACUUUACUUCAAGUAGCCAAAAAUGAUAAUGAUCCAAAAAUAACAAGCGAAUCUAAAUCCUUUUGCAAAAAUGAACUUGACAACUUUGAGUUUAUAUUGGAAUUAGUAAUUUGGUAUGAAAUGUUAAAUAUUGAUAAUUUAAUUAGCAAACAACUACAAUCAAAAGAUAUGCUUAUUGAUGUUGCUAUGGAAAAAUAAAAGGGAUGAUUCGUUUUUUAAGAAAUAUAGAGAAAAAUGUUUUUAAAUGUUUUACAAACCGCAAAAAAAAUGCCUUAGAAAUGGGAUUUGAUCCAAUAUUUUCUAAAAAAACAUUUUGAUAAGAUUCUAAACGAUACGACUUGUAGUUUUUCACAAUCCGCCCAAGAGAAAUUCAGGGUUAGUUAUUUUAAUUAUAUUGUUGAUCAAGCAAUUACUUGUUUAACUACAAGGCUUGAACAAUAUCAACAAUAUGAUAAAAUAUUUAAUUUUUUGUUUAAUCCAGAAAAAAUAGUUUCAUUAGAUGAUAUAACCAGCGGUGAGGCUAUUGCAAUUGAAGGUGGGUCACUUGACCCACCUAAACAAAAAAAAUUGUGUUACAAGUAAUUAAUAAAAAAAUUUAGGACCUAUCUUGAAAUUUGUAGAUGACUCACCUUAAUUUAUUUGUCAUGGACUUUUAGACCAUCUUUUAUAUUUCAAUGGUCUAAUUUUAGUUUAUUUCAAAUAAUGUCCACCAAAAAUUAACCCAAUACCUUUUAAAAUUAAAUAAAGAAAAAAAAUACAAACUGAAUGUGAAUUGUCCGUUCGUUUCUAACAAAUACACAUGACGCAAUCACACAAAUCGUAAGGAACGGCCGAAGACAUAAGUCACUCCUAUUGACCGCAAUCCACAUUGCUUUCUUCUUCACAUCAAGUUUUAACUUUGAAGAUUCUCAACUGUGAACUUGUGAUUGAUAAUGAUUGCAUUCUACGGUUUUACACUUCUUCUAAUCUUCUUCAUAGUUACGAAGAAAUAUAAUAAAAUCAAAAGUUCAAGACAUAAUCAAUUUAUUAUGUAAUCUCUAAUGUUGGCGCCAAUGAUAAGAACAUCUAUUUUGACUUAUGAACAAUAGGUUUUGUGUGGUAGGUUUCAUCACUUUAUAUGGUAUGUUUUAAUAUGGAUUGUCUUUGAUUCAAUCAAUCAUGAAAUUAAUAUAGUUUUAUUUGAUUGUUUUCGUUUCCCAACUUAGUGGAUAUUUUAGUGACAUAAAUUGAAAAAGUGUUUUAGAUAAUAUUAGUAAUGAUACGAUUGUGGACAUGUAUCAAGAUAUUAGAACUCUCCGGGUACAAUUAAUAUCUUUAAAAAAGUGCUUAUAUGAAUCGACCCAUUAUUAGUAUUUUUUAGCUAUGUCAUUUCUAUCGAGUUCACUUAAAUAGUGACCCAUGUAGGUUGUUGUCUAGACUCGCCACUGGAUAUAACCUUUAAGUCUUGUUGUAAGUCUCUUGAAACUUCACUCAGAAAUGAUGAACAAUCAGAUAUUGAUGGAAAUGACUUAUAUGUUGAAUUAAAAUUACUUUAAAAUCUCUUGCCUGAGGAAAAAAUGACAAUAAUUGAUAUUCUAAUUUUUUUAAAACGUAUUGGUUGUUUUCCUAUUACAUCUAAUGCGUAUAGAAUAAUGUUAAAUAUUCCUAUUAAUGUUGCAUCUAUAGAACGGAGUUUUUCAAAAUUGAAGAUUUUGAACUCCUACUUAAGAUCUACAACGACUCAAGAACGAUUUAAUGGAUUGGCUUUGAUGAUGAUUGAGCAUAACAUGUUGGAUAAAGUUACUUAUGAAGAUGUUAUUGAAAAGUUUAUUUCAACAAAUAUUAGGAGGAUGGUUGUUGUCAAGUAGAAUCCAACUUUUUUGUAUUAUUUUGAAUGGAAUUUUAAUUUUAUGUAUUUACAAUAGAAAAUUAAAAUUUAUAAUUUUUUUGCUUAAAUUUAAGAUCUUUCAAAUUUUUGGGACUAUUUUUUGUUAAAUCGCAGAGGGUCUCCUAAAUCUCAGGGUCAGCCAUGCAUGUAGAGGAUAUCAAAGUCUUAACUGAUAAGUUUUAAGAUCCAUUUAUAGUGGUCAUGUGCUUGUCUGCCAUUUGUAAGCGAAUGAAAAAGACUAUAGUUUUAUCGUACACUCAGAAGCAAUGAUUAAGUAGGUACUGACACCAUUUACGAAUGGAAUCAAUGAUAAUAUAGAGCUCUCGGGCAUAGGAAAAAAACGAUAAUAUGAGGGUUGUUUUCUUGUUUAAAUAAGAAAUUAGAUGGUUCCCUUUGAAUAGCACGACUCCAAUGGUCGAGCCUGAGGCAGUAGCCGUGAUGUCAACCCAUUUGGUAAAGUCAGGAAGAUAGAGCAUCAGAACGUUAGUCAUGGAAUCCUUGAGGUGAGUGAAGGUUGUCGCAACAUUUGGUAUCCACUAGAAUUUUAGAAAUUGUAGGAGGUCAGUAACUGGGACAGUGAGUCAGUGAUGCGAGAAUAUUCUUGCACCAACAGAAAUAGUAGCAUGUGAGGCCUAAGAAUUCGUGAAGCUAACUGAAGUGGCAUGUGGGGAUGUUAGUGUAUUAUUUACUAUGUAAAGUGUAUUGAGCCUAAUUUCUAUUUGUAUGUAGACCCAUGUCAUACUUAUCCCAUGAAUGUAAUAUCUACAUAUAUUAUUCAAUAGUCAUACUUAUCCCAUGAAUUUAAUAUAUAUAUAUAUAUAUANNNNNNNNNNAUAUAUAUAUAUAUAACAAAGUAUAAUAGAAGUAAAUCUCUGCCUUCUUCAAAUUUAUACUUUCCUUCUCUCUUGCCCUGGCUGUUGGCCUAUGACCCUCAUUGGAUGGGGAUAACCCAUUUUUUCUCAAACUGUUGAGUCUUCGCCACAAGACAUGGGUCAUUAACCCAUCUCUAUCGCACCUCGUAUGGUCUUGUUUCCAUCCUCAAUAGACUUGUUGCCUCCCACGUUGUUAGUCCUACCCACAAACCAGUGGCUCGACAUAUGUGUCAACCAUCAGACACACCUUUUCCUCUUGGUUUUCAGCCCAACCAACACGGGAUAUGAUAGAACUACUCAUCCCAAUCUACUCCUUCUCCUUUUGGACCUAGCUCAAUAGUACAUUGCAACAAGAGUCUCAAUAUUUGGCUACUUGUCUUCCAAAAAUGUGCAACUCCAUGCCGUUUGAUGAUCCAAACAACUACAUGUGGUACAAGAUUCAUAUGUCAUUUCUCAUCUUCAUUUUGGUGCAUGUAUACUCAAUUAUAUUAUUAAUAAUCAUUAUAUUAAUCCUUAGGUAUUCGUUAGUGAUAGAUCUAAAAUUUAUGUUACUACCUCAUGUAAUAUUACUCUUGUCUCUUUGGCAUCAAUGAUUCAGACAUCCUGAUCAUCAAGUUUUUUAAAAACUCCACUUAAUAAUAUUUUGAUUCCAUGUAACAACUCAAAAGUCUCUAGUUUUCGUCAAGUGUGUAAGUAAGGAAAACAUGUUAGCGUGCAUGUUACUUUAUCUAAUACUAUUGCAUCUUUUCUGUUUCAAAUAAUUCACUUGGAUAUACGGAAUUCAUUGUUAUUAAAUGUUACUAGUUUUAAAUACUAUGUUUUGUUCCUUGACCAGUCCUCUUAUUUUCUAUGGAUGUAGGGGUGAGCAAAAACCGCAUCACAAUUAAAAUUAACCGCAAAAACCGCAACCGAUAAACCGCAAUCACAAUAAAAACCGAUGGUGUGGUUUUCUGUUUUUCAAAAACCGCAAAUUUGUGGUUAGGUGCGGUUAUAAGUUUUUAAAAACGGCACCGCACCGCAUAUAUUAUAUACAAUUUUUUCGUUAACUAUUAAUAUAUUAAAAAUUAAAAAUAAGACAAGUUUCAUGGAUGAAAGAACGAUAAAAUUCUAGAAGACAAAGGUGUUGAUUUAGACAAAAGUUUAGAUCUUUUAUUGUGUAGAACUUUGCAAAAUGGUGAAAUUUGAUAAUUUUAAGAUAUUUAUUGUUAAUUACUAGUGAUUUGAUGUUUUUAAUAUAUUAGUUGUUUGUGUUUUAAGUUAAUUGUCUUAUAUCUUAUGGUUUUUUAUUAUUCCAAGUAAUAUGUUUGAACUCUUAAAACUUUUUGAACUCUAAACUACGGUUAAAAACCACACAAAAUAACCGCACCAAAUCCAUGUGGUUAAUAACCGAUAAAAACAAAACCGCACCGCAAAAAUAACCGCAUCAAGAGUUUUGAAAAUGGAUUAACUGCAUUUGUGGUUAGUGGUGAGGUUUUGGCCAAUAACCGCACCGAACUGCACCACACUCACAUCUAUUUGGAUGUAUCCUAUUAGUCAUAAAUUUGACCUUUUCUCUAAAAUCGUUCAAUUUUACAAGUAUUUCACAAAUCAAUUUCAUUGUGAGUUUGUGACAUUCAACAUUUCAAUGUGAUAGUGGUGGAGAGUUUAACAAUGCUCAAUUUUGAACUCUAUAUGAUUCAAAUGGUAUUCAUUUAUGAUUCUCAUCUCUAGAUACGACUCAACAAAAUGGAAAAUCUGAACAAUUAGUUAAUGGAAAGCUAAAAGUCUAAGCUACUGGAAAAUGGAAAAAGAUUGUAACUUUUAUAGGAUUUGGUUGUGUUAAGAUGCCCUUGAACAUGUUGCUUUUUUAGGUCAAAAUCUGGAACUUGAGUCUAGUAAUUCGUCUAUAUGUUUAGGAUACAGAAUAACCAUUUUUAACCUUGAAAGCAUCUAUUAAUAUACUUUUUGUGUUGUAUUAGGUGGAUUGUGAUACCGCAAGUACUUUCAAGAUUUGAAGUGUGGAAAUGGAGGUUUUUGACAAAUGUGAGUUAAUAUUAGUGGAAUUUAAGUACUUCGUUAGCGAAUUCCAUAUCUUAGAUGGAUUGGAAUAAUCCUACAAUUAUAUAUGUUGCAUGUAUCCCUAUUUUGUAUAAUAUGCUACUGGUAAUGAUGGUUCUUUUUCUGUAUAUGAGAAUUUAGGAUGCAUUAUAUGCGACAUUCUUGUUUUUAACGUGAGAUGUGUGUUAGGUCCAUGAUAAAAAGACGGUUUUGUGUUAUUUGUAUGUGAUGUAUGCAUGAUAUAAUCUAUUGGAAAUAUUUGUCUAUGAUGUUUAGAACAAGCAUGCUAGUGAUGUGAUAUGUCAUAAUGAUGCAAUGAUUAUAUGUGGAUGAUAUUGUAUGUUGAUUUAAAAUGGAUAACUUGUAAUAACCAAUUCAUAUAUCUACAGAAUGAACAACUUGAGAAGUAAUAUGCUCUAAAAAGAUGAUAAUAAUUAUGCAUGAUUACUUAGGGACGUUAGAUGUGUGAUUACCUUAUCUAACGGAUUAAUAACUUAUUAAUUAAAAUGGGGAAUACACUUAAAGGGACGAGGGUAGCAACCUAGACGUAGGUGUGUACCCUAUUAGGAUUAUAUUAUGACCUAGUAGGUUGAAAGAUAUCUAUAAGACAAGAACUUAAACCAACACUGUUAGCGAGUGGUUCUUCUAGAACCACUCGGGGCAUGGUCCAUGGUUUCUAGGACUGGAGUAGUGUUGACGAUUGAUGGAACAUUUGCGAAAACACCACAUGGGAUUUAGGAUGUGUAACAUGAUGUAAGUGGCACCACUUGUAUAGAUCCUUAACAACAACAUGUGUACUUGUAUACAUAAUGUCGGAGUAGCAAAUGCAACAACAACCGGGGGCAAUUUUACGGGUGAGAGUCGCGCCUCACUUAGUGUGUUGGGUUGUGUCGGUCAUGUUAGUAGCGAAUGAGAUGCUUACCUUGGGGUCACUAAUGAGUAUAUAAACCCAUAAGUAUGAUGUGUUAUAACAACAAUUACAAAGGUGAUUAAGAAGAAAGUAAUUGUUACCGAUGAAGUAAUAACUAUUUACAAAGAUGAUUAGUGAAGAGUAACUAAAUGUAAAAUCUCUAAAGAAUAAUAAUAUUAUUUGAGCAUUAUUGUGUUAAUUAUAGGAUAUAUUUGAUUCCAUGCUAUGUGAUUGAUUGGAUGCAUGUUUAUAUGAUGUUUUGUUUGACCCAUUUGGGAUAUGUACAUUCCAUAACAAUGUACUUAUGAUUGACUCACUUAGCGUAUGCUGACACUUGUUUAUUUGUUUGUUCUUUCCCUUAAAUUGGUACAUGUAGAAUAAAGUGAUGGCCUUGUGACGAUGAGGAAUCUUGUGUAGUUAUAUUUAGUUUAUUUUUAGUAAUGAUAUCAAUUUGGUCACGUCGUUGAGUUUUCAUUACACUUGGUUUUUGAGAACUUGGUUUUAGUUGGUUUUAUGAACUUUGAUUUUGAUGAAGGAUUAGGUUUGGUAGUAAAGUAAAAUUGGUGAUGUUUUCAUAAAAUUCAAAAUAAGACUUUCGCUAACGUAUUUUGGUUAAAUAAAUGUUUUAAAUAAAAAAAUUGGGUGAAAAUCACGAUGUUGUGGUUCUAGUCCUACUACAGUCAAGGAUCAUUGUUGUUUUGCUCUUAAUAAUUAUUAUCAAAAGAAAGGUCAAGUUUCAGGGAAUUGUGAUUUCUUAGGCAUAACAUUUAUAUAAUCUCAUUUAUUUUGUGAUUUCUCAAGUCAAGGGAGUUGUGAUUUCUCAAAACGGAGCUUGUUCUAAUCCUAAUUCCCUCCCAACAUUUAUGUAUUUUCAUUUAUGUUGUGUUUCUUGAACGAUUUACUUCUGAAAAUUAUUUUUGUUAUUAUGGGAGCCCUAGGUAUGAUAUCUUUCCAUCUUAACUGGUGUUGGGGACGAGUGGUAGUGGUUGGCGGUGGUGCUGCUGGUGGUGGAUUGGGGUGGUAAUGGUGGUGGACUUUGGUUGUAGUGGUGGUUUACAAUUGUGGUAAUAAGUUAUAGGCAUUUUCUUUUUAAAUAACAAUAUAAUAAUUAAUAUAAAUUCUAAUUAAUCAAAAAGAAAAAGAUAAAAUAAAUAAAAAGGGUAAAUAAGUCUUUUUAGAUGGAUGAGAGACCAACCACGAUAGAAAUUGAAAACCACGUAGACCUUCUAUGUGGUUUUAUAAAGUUAGGGACUAUAUCCCAUAUAUUAUAAAACCAUAUGGACCAUUUAUGAAGUUUUGUCUUUAAAAAUUUUGAUACAAAUAGUUUCUUUGUCUUGCAAUGUGGUUCUUUGAUCUAAUUUCAUUACAUAUCACUCAUCAAAUAAGUGUAAAAUUACCAUUUUCUACUUAUUUGUCUUAUUUGUCGUUUUCUUAGUUCCUAACCAUUUUUAAGUAUCAAUCAACAACCAUUUCCCCAAUUGUCUCUUACAAUCCCCUCCUCCUCCCUAAAUAUCUUCUAAGGCUAGAAAUUUUAAGAUCUCGAUAAACAUUUUUAUACAUACAAACAGGGGCGGACCCAAGAAUUUUCCAAAGAGGAAGCAAAAAAAUUUAUAACUUUUUAAGGGGGGCAAAUUUUUUUGAUGAGUAAAACUAUAUAAUUUUAAAGGGUUAAAAUAUAAUUUAAAAAAAAUAACUAUUUUUUAAUGAAUUUUUUUUUUGUUGUGGGGGCAAUUGCCCCCAUUGCCCCCUCUGUAGGACCGCUCCUGCAUACAAACACAAACGAAGAUCUAAAUAAACAAAAUAUAAUGAUUAUAUCAUCUACUUAAAUAACCUUGAUGCCCUAAACGUUUUUAUCCAUCGACACACAAAUCAUACUCAAAUACCCCUAAAAUAUUAUAUAAUAUUACGACCGAGACCGAUGUUAGCACGACAAAAUGUUUAAUUUUCCAGCAAAAAAAUGUGAGAUGGGAUGGAUUUUUUUAUGUCUAUGCAAAAGACGUGCCAUCAUCCUCAUCAUUGAAAUAACUCUAGAUAUAUUAUUUAGUUAGCAUAUAUGGUAGAUACAUGAAUGAUAUGGUAUGUAGAUCCAAACCCAGGCACGAUAAAUCUAGCCCGAUAUGAUGCUUUUUUCAUCACACUUAAUUCAGUCACCACGCUACGCGAGGCUUACACUACUAGGUAAGUGUCUUGAGCGUUUUCAACACCUUGGCAUUCACAAUGUUAUUUUAUAACGGUUUCCAUACAAAAGGUUUUUUUUUAUUUAACAUCAUUUAUAUAUAGAAAGGUAAAACAAUCAUUUACUCACAUCUACUCCAAAAGUGUUAUUUUAAUUCCAAAUCAAUUUGGUCAAUUUUGGGGCUCUUCGUUUUUUUCGUACUAAGUUAUGCAUGGAUAAAGUAGCUAAAUGGGUAAUGAUAUACAUAAAUGGAUAAAGUAGCUAAAUGGGUAAUGAUAUACAUAAAAUGUUGUAUACAUAAUUUUUGUUUAUUUUGUCUAGAUAAAAUGUUGUAUACAUAAUUUUUGUUUAUUUUGUCUAGAUAAAGUGUGUGAUAUACAUAAGAUUUGUUUCUUUUGUCCAUAUAAAGUGUUGUAUGCAUAAAGUUUAUUGAUUUUUUAACUGAAUUAAUCGUCUAAAUAAACCCAAAUGAGCAUUUAGCAAUAAAUAAAAACACAAAUUGCAUAAUAUUCAUCAAUUAUGACGACAACAUGUUGCCGCAAUAUGAUGAGAGACUAUUCCUCCCGGAACAAAAGGAUCAAAACGCUCCACGCCCCACAAUGGAUUUACAACUUGUAUUUUUCCUGUUAGUCCAUCGGACACCCAUAUGCCAGGACCAUACAAACCUGUUACAUAUGCACCAAAACAAAAGCAAGCCACACCUGCAAUAAAUAAAUGUAAUCCAAAGAUCUUGGGAAAUCCAAAGAAGGUUUUCCUGUACAUUUAUCAGAAAAUAUUUCUAGAUCCCAAUACACCCAAUGCCAGAUAGCUGUCAAAAAGCACAACCCAAAAAACACAAUAUGCGCUCUGGCCACACCUUCAUAACUCCAUACCUGGAUUGGUAAUAGUCAACCCCCUGGGGAUACUCCAACCACCCCUUGAAUUGGUUAUUCCUAAACGAUUCAUGAAGGGUAUAACGAACAUACACAGUCUCCACAUUGGAUCAAGAACAAGGUCAAAAUGAUCAAAAACCAUUAUGGAAGAAAAAAAUAAAGGAAAACUAGGGAAAAGGUUAAUGUCUAAAUACAUUAAGCCAUGUUUUUUUCCACUUAACCCAUCAAGUCAUUAUCUUAGGAUUAAGUAAAGAAGAAAACAACUAUAUAUAGAUAUCCAUAUUAAUAAUUUAACCCAUUACGCUCAUUAAUUCCAAAAGAAACAAACCCUUACCCUCAUUCCGUCAAAAAAUAAAGUCAUAUUUUUUAUUCAACGUCACCUGUAAAGAGAAAGAUAAAAUGAUAAUUUACUGUUAUCGAGCUUCACUUGUACAUGAUAGACAUAAGCCUAAAGUGGUCCUUUAAUUACUUCUUUUUACUCUUUUCUUCCUUCUAGGAAGCCUAGUUAUAUAACUGGAGAGGAGAGGACGAGAGGUGUACAUGGAAGUUUGCUUACUUUCAUAAAUGUCUACAAGAAAAGAGGGAAUAUAUGACCAUUCAACACAAUAUGAUAACCUAAGACGAGCAUAUCAAUUCAAUAGCAAAGCCAAAAGACGUCAAUACCUUCCAUAAAUUGUAAAUAAUUUCAAUUUUUAUUUUACAGUUUUAAUAUUUACAAAUAAGUGAAAAUUUGGUUGUAAGAAAAGAACUCACUAUUCACACAAUUUUGUUUUCAAUCAAGUAUUCUUGGGAUAUAAGUCAGAUCUUGUUGAUGGAUCCAAUUCCAUCAGUGAAUCGUAUUUUUUCACUGUUAAUUCAAGAAGAAAGACAAAGAGACAUUGGUGCAAAUUCUUCUACUGAACCAGUUUUGGCAUUCAAUAUUCGAGCAAAUCAAAACAAUCAGACUGCUCCAAAUCAAUUCUCCAAUUUCAAGAAUGUCAAGAAAGAUUCUCCUUAUUGCACAUAUUGUAAACGAACAGGACACACUCAAGAUAAAUGCUAUCGUUUACAUGGAUUUCCUCCUGGAUACAAAACACAAAAUCACAGAGCCUCUUACAACAGUGAGAAUUGUGUUAAUGUAAUAACGGAAACUCAAAAUGUUCAAGUGGCUUCUUCUCCUGUAAAUGAAGUUGUUACAGGAUUAACAAAUGAUCAAUGUCAACAACUCAUAGCUCUUCUUUCUGGUCAACUUGAUUCAGUGAAUGCUAUUACUACUUCUCAUUCUAUUCAGACAGGUAAUCUUUAUGUCUUAUCUCUUAGUUCUGGAUUUUUCCAAUCAAAUGUCUGGGUUUUGGAUUCUGGAGCUACCAAACAUGUUUGUAACAAUCUUGAAUUGUUUACAGACAUUAAAGAAAUAUCCAACACUAGAAUACAAUUACCAAAUCAGUCUUUUAUACAAGUUCAUCAAAUUGGAGAUAUAAAGGUGGAUGAGAAGUUAUUCUUAAAGGAGGUGUUAUUUGUUCCCCAAUUCAAAUUAAAUCUAAUUUAUGUUACUAUGUUAACAGAACAUGAUAAUGAUUUAAUGGUAGAAUUAUACUAUAACCAUGCUAUGAUUCGACAGAUCAAGAGCAAGAAUGUGAUUGGCAAGGGUAAUGUUGAAGCUGGAUUAUACAUACUACAGGAACAAACUACUUCAAUUACAGUAAAUGCUGUUGUUACUUUUCAAAGAUGGCAUGACAGAUUGGGUCAUCCAUCAGCUCAUAAAAUCAAGUCUCUUGAUAGUGUUUUACUUUUGAAUAAGGAUCAUAAUACAAACACUUGUUGUAUCUGUCCAUUAGCUAAACAAAAACGUUUACCCUUUGUUUCUGAGAACAAUGUGUGAUAAGCCUUUCCAAUUGAUUCAUUGUGAUAUUUGGGGGCCUUAUCAUAUCAAUUCUCAUCAAGUUUAUAGGUACUUCAUUACUAUUGUAGAUGAUUAUAGUCGUUUCACAUGGAUAUAUUUGAUUAGAAACAAAUCUGAAGCUUAGAUUGUUGUUCCUCAGUUCUUUAAAAUGAGAUUCAAGAAAUUUGAUGUUCAUGUUAAAGCUUUUAGAUCGGAUAAUGCAAAAGAACUUCAGUUUACAUAAUUUUUUCAAUAACAUGGAGUGUUACACCAAUUUUCUUGUGUUGAAAGACCACAACAAAACUCUGUUGUGGAGAGGAAACAUCGACAUUUAUUGAAUGUUGCAAGCGCCUUAUUUUACCAAGCUCAUAUACCUUCAAUAUAUUGGUCUGAAUGUGUAUCAACAACAACGUUUCUAAUAAAUAGAACACCAUCCAGAUCUUUGAACAACAUCUCUCCUUAUGCAAAAUUAUACAAAGAAGAACCUUCAUAUUUUCAUCUUAGAACUUUUGGCUGUUUGGCUUUUGCAUCUACUUUACCUUCCAAAAGACAAAAGUUUGAUCCUAGAGCAAGAGCUUGUGUGUUUGUUGGGUAUCCACAAGGAAUGAAGGCUUACAGAUUACUUGACAUAGAAACAAAACAAAUUUUUGUUUCCAAAGAUGUCAUUUUUCAUGAAGAAAUUUUUCCUUUUAAGAAUUCAUAAUCCAAUCCUCAUAUUAAUCCAUUUAUUUCCCAUACUCUACCUGAACCAAUUGUGGUUGAAUCUAUUCUUGAACCAAUUCACAUUGAACCUUCUCAAAUAAUUCUUCAACAAACAAAUCCUCAUGAUGAUUAUGAUCAAGAUGAAGUUGUUUUUCAAGAAAAUGUCACCCAAAGACCUCAAAGACAACGAAUUUAACCCGCAUACCUUAGAGAUUACCAUUGCAAUCUGGUAAAUUUGGUUCCAGAAAUUACCAAAAUACCCUUUAUCCGAUGUGUUGUCUUAUUCACAGCUUUCACCUUCCUAUCAAGCAUAUGUUUAUGCAAUAUCAACUCAAGUUGAGCCAACAUCUUUCAAAGAAUCCAUUGAAUCCCCAAAAUGGAAAUUAGCAAUGGAUGAGGAAUUACAAGCUUUAGAACUCAACAAUACAUGGACUGUUGUACCUCUACCAGAUGACAGAAAGCCUUUGGGUUGUAAGUAGGUUUUCAAAAUCAAAAGGAAAGCAAAUGGUUCUAUAGAGAGAUAUAAGGCACGCUUGGUAGCAAAAGGGUAUAAUCAGCAAGAAGGAGUUGAUUUUUUGGAUACAUAUUCCCCUGUAGCAAAACUCGUUACAGUUAAACUUUUAUUGACAAUUGCAGCUCAAAAAUCGUGGCCUUUAAUACAAUUGGAUGUCAAUAAUGUGUUUUUAAAUGGAGAAUUAGAAGAAGAAGUUUACAUGCAAAUACCCCAAGAUUAUUCUCACCCUUUUACAGGAAAUUCUACAGUCAAAUAUGCAUGUAAAUUGGAAAAGUCAUUAUAUGGUUUACGUCAAGCUUCAAGGCAAUGGUAUGCAAAAUUCUCCAUUUUUCUCAAAUCCUUGGGCUUUAAACGGUCUCAAUCUGAAUUUUCCUUAUUUACAAAAGGAAACAAUGACAAUUUUGUGGCUUUAUUAGUUUAUGUGGACGAUAUUGUGAUUACUGGUUCCUCUUUAGAUGUUAUCAAUAAACUUAAAGAAAGUUUAAGUACUCAAUUUCGUCUUAAAGACUUGGGAACACUUAAACACUUUUUGGGCUUAGAGAUUGCAAGAUCUCCUGGAGGUAUUGUUGUGUCUCAAAGACAAUAUGUUCUAGAUCUUCUUCAAGAUGCCGGAAUGUUAGCAUCCAAACCCGUAUCUCAUCCAAUGGAUCCCAGACACAAGAUGUCUUCUUUUGAUGGAGAAUUAUUAUCGGAUCCUUCUCAAUAUAGGAGACUCAUUGGACGUCUUCUAUAUUUUAACCAUUACACGCCCAUAUAUUAUUUAUGUUGUGCAUCGGUUAAGUCAAUUCAUUUCUGCACCAAAAGUUCCACAUUGGCAGGCUGCUCAACAUUUGUUACGAUUUUUAAAAGGAAAUCCUGGUCAAGGAUUAUUUCUUUCAUCAAAAUAAUCUUUACAACUUAAAGCCUUUAGUGAUUCAGACUGGGCUGGAUGUAUUGAUACUCGAAGAUCAGUUACAUGAUUUUGUGUUUUCCUUGGAGAUUCCUUAAUCUCUUGGAAGUCAAAGAAACAAACUACAGUUUCCAGAAGUUCAACUGAAGCAGAAUAUAGAGCAAUUGGAUCAGUUACUAGUGAAAUAAUUUGGUUAAGACAAUUGCUUAAGGAUUUUGGUGUGCAAUCUGAUCAGCCAACUUUGGUUUUCUGUGAUAACAAUUCUGCAAUGCAAUUGGCUGUUACUCCUAUAUUUCAUGAAAGGACUAAGCAUAUCGAAAUAGAUUGCCACUUCAUCAGGGACAAGAUCAUUGACAGAACCAUUAAACUCAUGCCCAUUCAUACAACACAUCAGAUAGCAGAUUUAUUUACCAAGCCUCUACCAUACUAAAAAAUGGCACCUUUUUUAUCCAAGAUGUCGCUUAAAAACAUUUUUAAGCCUCCAUCUUGAGGGGGGAUCUUGGGAUAUAAGUCAGUUAGUUGUUGAAAUAAAAUUGUGUCGUAGAUAGUUAGUUAAGUUGGUCAAGGUGCAUGUUAGUAGUCAUGGUGCAUCUUAACUGUUGUAUAUAUUUCCUGAUGUAUUUUCUAUUCAGUAAUGAUGAGAAUUUUUGUUUCUUCUUCAUUUCUUUGAUGUUCAAAUUACAAAAAGUAUCGACUUAUAUAUUUGAAAAUUUGGUUAAUAUCUUAAAAUUUCUUAUUGCAUGGACUCAACUAAGUACACACUCAUCAAACGUCAAAGAGUCUAUGCUCUAAGUUCAAUGGCUCAUUCCAUACCCAUCUCAUAUACUAGUUCAAUGUUUUCUUUUGUAUGCUUCCAAUGAUGUGUUGAAAUCACAGAUUAAUGACCUCUCCAAAUGAAAAAAUAGAAAAAAGAUUCUCAUUUACGAAAAAAACUUAAAAUUAUAGUCCCUAGGUCCUAGGAUAUACACAACCUAUCAUUAUCUUGGCUUAUACUAGGCUUUAUAAAAGAAAAGCUUGUCGUGUUUAUCAAAGCUUAUUAUUUUUUUACUAAAUGAAAAGUAUAAUGCAUCAUGGUUUGAAAAGUAUUAAUGCGUUUUGGCUUAUACUUUGGUGUGCUCCCACAUCGGCAAAAAGAAUAAAUUGAAAGGGAGAGGGAGCUGUAUAAAACGGAAGCUAGACAAUUGGAUUAGAUACUUACCUGGAUGGGGUCAAUGGUUGGUCAAGAUGGAUCAUGGCCUAGAGUAGUGACUUUCAUUGCACUUUGAAGGGGUGCUGCUUUAAGGUCGGCCCAAGUGGUCGAACCUACAUCAUAAUUUGUGACAGAGGGGGCUUGCGUUCGCGCAGCCCCUACCAAAUAUUGAAGUUCAAACUUUUUGUCUUCUUUAUUUUGUAAUGAACAAAAUAAGUAUACAUUAACAGCAUUAUCUUCUUGAUUCUAGUUGAUAGUAUAUGUUUUAUUAAUUCGAAUUAAUGUAAUAAAC
rnacentral:lncRNA from 1 species